AUACCAUAUACAGGUACUGGAGUACUCUCUGACCGCUCACUCUUACAUGAAAGUUUAAUAUUAGAAAAUGAAUUCAUAAAUGCAUAUAUUAAAAUAUGAAUUGUAAAUGAUAUCUAUUCAGCUGAAAUUGGCUUGAAACCUGCGCAAGGAGGAGUUUCUAUGUUCUUAUCUCUGCUUUGACUGAUACAUAUAGAUUCAAGAAGCCGACGUUGCCAACGUGUGGGCAAUUGUGACCUAGCAAAACAUCUAAUAGUUAGUUAAAUUCCACCUGCGACACGUGGGAGCAUGGGUCCACAAAACAAAUAAUUGGAACUAAUUAGAACAGAAAUCGAUUCGGUAACCCGCCGCCGCAUGCACUUUCUAAAAGUUUUAAAUUUAUGAAUUGAAACUACCGACGCCUUUUUAUGUUUGGUUAAUUAUACAUAUAGUUCGAGCUGAGGGAUACAUACAGUAGUAGAGUCUUUAAAAUGGUACAAUACCUAAUCAACGUUGAUAUAUACUAAGUUACAGGGGCCAUCGAUGACAUACGUAGAUAAUUUUCUGUAAUUGUUGCUUGAUUCCCAUAUAUAUAUAUAUAGUUCUUUUCUAAAGGAUGUUAUUAAAUUAUAAAAAACGCAUAUUUCAAUACACUAAAAAUUAUAUAUUUUUUUAUUUAUUAGUAUAUUGAAAUUUAUGUUUUUAUUUUUUACUGACAUCCCUAACAUCCUCACUUUUACCCUCAUUAGAGAAUUACAAUAGUGGUAUAUCUAGGACAGCUAUUUGAGAGUUUGAUUAUUUGAGCAAGUAAUUUUAAUUUUUGUUGACUGGAUUUAGAGUAGUAUGUUAUUAGAGUCUUUCCAUUUGUAUUUUAGGUAGAAUUUUACUUCUAUGUUUGAGUGUACAUUGUCUAGUAUAUUUACUCGGUUAUAAAUUGGGUGGUUAUGUAAUAUGUUUGAAAAUCUUUAAUUAAUAAAAUUUUUAUUUUAUUUUUUUCAUGAAAUUAUUUAUCUAAAUCUCUCUUAUAAAAUCGUUUACAUUAGAGCAUUAAUUAAUCUUAUAACUUUGAUGUAUUAUUUGCCUUGGACUUUUAUUUUGGUCUAUCACUAUAUUAUUUACCUUUGGCUGUCUCACCAUUUUCGUGUAAUAUUAUCUGCAUUGAGUCAUAUUUUUGUAUAGAGUGGUGAUAUUUAUCUCAUCAGUUUUUAUAUUAAUUUCUAUUUUGCCGUUGUAUUAAAUUAUUUGCUUUGGUGAAUUGCUAUAUUGUUUGCCUUGGGCCGUCUCACCAUUUUGGUGUGUAAUCUGCCUUGGGUCAUUCAUUUUUGUAUAGAGUGGUGAUGUGAUCUCAUCAGCUUUUAUAUUAAUUUCUGUUUUGCCAUGGUAUGAAAUUAUUAAAAAGGAUAUUGAAGAGUUUCUUGCCACAAAUCGAACCUGCAUCUCUGUUAAGCAUUACUCUUGCAUUUCCACGGAAAAGGCAGUAAGUCAAUGGCCUAAAUUCAUGGUUCAUUUCAUAUUAUGAAGUUUCUUUCUUCAGGAUGAUUUCGUCUGGAAUUCUCCUAAUUUGCUUCCAAAAAUCCACUUGCCACAUAGCCUUUGCAGCUGGUAGUGGCUUGUAUGCUUGUUGGAUUAGUCAGAAAAAUCAAUUGGCAUUGGUCACAAUUUUUUUAUUCGAGCUGAGGGAUACAUACAGUAGUAGACGUCGUGUACUAUGUAUGUUCUCUUUCUCAUAUAUAUAAAUAUAGUAAGAGAUAUAUAUGGCUUUUAUUUAAUUCUCAAUAUCAUAGGCGGUAAACAUGGACUCUUGGCUUAAAGACAAUAUGAACAUGAAACCAUUUCACGUGGGUGAUCAAUUAUAUAACUUUCAUCCUUCUUACGGAAGUCAGAAGAGGUGUGUACCUACCACAUCAACCGUGUCAAGCGAAGAUAUUGGACAUUUAAUAAUGAAAAAAUUAGGAAUUUUCAUGGACACACCAGUAGGUUCCGUAAAUAUAUAGAAUCAAUUGAUUCUAGGUACCUUACAAUGUGACUUUUUUUUUUUUUUGUCCCUGAAGAUCCGGACUAUUUUUGAGGAUACUGGCCGUUGAGGCUUUGUUUGUAAUUGUGCAAGAAAAUGGAAAAGAAUGGGCUAAAGCGCAAAAAGUAAAGCUAACAGUUGUUUAAUUUAAUUUUUUAAGAUUGUUUUGAUGUGGAAUUUGAUUUGGGAACUUUUUUGUAAUUACAAGAAACAGCCACACAGGGUGACAAUUAUGGCAUUCUUUCGUCAAUUGGAUAUUAAUAGUACAAUGAGGAUGGCUAAAUGCAUAAUCACCCUAUUAAUCUUGCAGUCCAAAGCAAAAGCAAAAUAGCAUUACAAACAGUAGAACUCUCAGAUUGAUUCACUGUAUCUAAACGAUAGGUCAUCUCAUUACUAAACUAUCUGACGUAACUGAUUCAGAAAUUUAAUUUAGAGAGGGCUUGGUACAAAUAAAAUAAUUCACGAGGCGCGUUCGAUGGUGCAAGUGAUCGGCGGCAACAACAAGCAAGUAAGGUAAUGAUGAUGUAUAUGUUGGAAAUAUGAAUUCAUAUUGUUUAUUAAAAGUUCAAAACAUGAAUAAUAGUUGUUGCUACUGUUCACUUCACUGUUUAUUAAUACUAUUAAUCAUACUGUUCACUUAGCAACAAUUGUAAAUUUGUCAAGGCGUGUUCGAACUGUCCUUAAAACAAAUUUCAGCUCUUCUAGAAAGAUUUCUCGAUGCAAAAAGGAUAUAAAUAAAAUGGAUUGAGCUCCAUGAUACAAUGAUAUUGUUGCCAGGUUGCACUCCAAGUACAAUAGUUUAGAAAAGAAAAAUUAAUGAAGAAACUAUGAGAUAGAAGGAGAGGAUAUAGUGGCUGUGCCUUGAAGACUUUGUAUUUUAAAAUACCAAUAAAACUCGAAGAAUAAACUUAAAUAAUUUGGAUCAAGAUUGCACUUUAAGAUGAAACACUAAUUAGUGGCCUUUAUGUAUAACUUAAUAAUUUGAUAAAUAACUUCGCACUAGCAAAGCCAAGAGUUUCAUUUAAACCCCUAAGAUUCAAAUAUUCUUUCCCCCUUUACUACUGGCAAAAUUUGGCAAUCGAUAUUUCGGAAGACAUCACACAUGUCAAAAAAAAAAAAAAAUAGCUAGUCCCAUCAAAAUCACCAAAUGCAAUCCAAUAACAUGCUCCACUUAAGUAUAGACUUUCAUGAGAAUCGACGGAAAAAAUAAAUAAUAAUAACUUCAUUUAGUUAAGCAAAUAACAAUUUGUGAUUGUUCGUUAAUCUUAUUAAUAAUCUAAUUCUUAGUUUCUUACUAUUGUUCUUUUACUUGAUUAUAUUGUCGAAUCUUUCUGAAAAAGAUUGUUUUUGUAAUUGACAUGUUUAAAGUUUAAACAAAAAAAAAAAAGAACUAAAUCCAAAUCAAAUAUAAAUACAAAUCCAGGUUCUAAAAAAAUCAAGUACAAAUACAAAAUCUAAAUUCUAAAACUUAAAGUUUCAAAGCGAACAUCAAGGAAUCAACAUCCCACGAAGCAACACGAACGGCGAAGGCGAGCUAGUUCAACCUGUAUCGGGGCUGGUUACUGGUCGCGAUAGCAGCUAGUGAUGAUGAACAUUGAACACAGCCACGAUCACGAUUAGCGAAGGUGGCGUUCAACUCGUAUCACAACUUGUUACUGGUUGUGACAGAGAAGAAGAAAUGAUGGCUGAUGAUGAUGAUGAGAUUAACACAACCGCAAAGAUAGUGAAGCGAUGACGACGAUGAUUUAAUUUGAUGAAGAAAAGACCUGAAAAGAGACAGACAGGAAAUGUUUGGCCUUGGCAGCCGCAGCUAUGAAUGCAAGUAGGGCACUUGGGCUUUUUUUGUAUUUUUCUAAUUGUAUUAUAUAAUCUAAAAAAAUUAAUAUUAAAAUAAAAGCUUCCGGGUCUAGAUUCUGUAUCUAUGGGUUAACAUAAACCCAGACCCGGACCUGGAUACGUCUGGGUUCAUUAAAUUGCAUCCGAAUUCCAUAUAAAAUUUGCUCCAGUAUGGGUUGAAGCCAGCCUAUUCUCUGGGUUCAUCUAGGUUUGGGCGGGGAUCGGAUUAAAUUGGCAUCGCUUUUAUGUCCAAAUUAUCAAUAAGAUCCUUUGGUGUUAGUAAAUUCCUUUAUCACGUAAAUGGUUUCAAUUUUGAACAUAUUAGUCCUAUUCCAAUUUUCAACCGUUCCCAAUUUUAUAACUCCAUUUAUUAAUAACAUUGUCUUAAAAGUUCAUCAUUGCACGGCACUAGAAUGAUUAUAAGGUUUAAUAUUUUUGAAUUAUGAAGCUCGUUCUCAGUAAGACAAGGCUAUUUGCACUCUAAAACUUAGUCUAAACAAUCUGUCACCUUGGAUACUCAUGUACUAAAUUUAAAAAGAUUAAGUUUUAUUUUCUUCACACUUUAAAAUACCUAAAAAGACCUUAUUGAAACUCGCUAAAUUAAUUUACUCAAAACACCAAUCAAACUAUUUAGCACAUCCAAAAUGAAUUAGUAAUAAUUUAGAAUACACUGCAAUGGAAUCAAAGUAUGUUCUAAAGAAAUUUUUUUAACAUAAGUUUUAUUUAUUAGCUUUUGUUUAUUAAAGAAUAUGUUCAGCAUUGGUUUUUAAACCCCAAACUUUUAACCCAACAAUUGGAAAAAAUGGUUAUUUGGCCCAAAAAGGGAAAAAAAGAAAGAAAGAAAGAAAGAAAGAAAGCAAGAAAGAAGAAAAGAACACAAAGAAGAAGGAGAAGACUGCAAAAAAUAUUUUUAAAAAACUAAAAAGCAUAAAUAUGUUCAAAAUAUAUUAAAAGUAUUCAUUUGCUCCUAGCUCCUAGUUUAACUAAAUAUUGUUUAAGAGAUUGGAAAUAAAAUUUCUAGGGCUUAUGCCAAAAGAAUUAUAUAUUCAAUAACAAGUGUGCUAUAUGAGUAUUUAGAGUAAUUAUAUAAUGUUAAUUUAUAAGAAAGAGUCCUUAUUAGUAAUUCAUAUGAUGUGUAUUUUUGUAAUAGAAUAAUUUAUUAAAAUAAAAAUGUGCAGAAUAUUUUUUGUAUUGUAAAUAUGUAAAUAUUCUCACCCUUCUCAAUAUAUUGACUUGAGUGAUAAUUUUAAAUUGCAUCAGAAUGAGCUAAAAGAAGAGGAAUUGUCGAAAUUCAGCUUAUGGCAAUUGAACAAUUAAUGGUUAAGAAAUACAGUAAAUCAAUAAUACUAAAACAUAAACAUAAUAAUUAAAGACUACCAUUAAAAUCUUUUUAGGAAUUUAUCUUGCAAACCAUCUAUUAGACGUCAAAAAUAUAAUUAGCCACCAAAAAUUUAAGAUAAUAGCUCUGCACUGUUGAGUGUUAGAAAAUGUAUAUUUAUAAAGGAGAAAAUCGUCAUUUUACACUUCCAAGUUUUACUAACACUUAUACUUUUAUGUAUUUUAGUCUCUUGUAAUUUAAUUAUGUGUAUUUGAUUUUAAUUAUGUAUUUUAUGCAUUUUAGGAGUUUCAUGGUCAUUUCACAAUGAACGAGAGCGGCAAAACGACAAAACGGACAUCACUUUUGAUGAAACUUAUUUUAAGCAGAUAGUGGGAAGUCUCAUGUACCUCACCACCACUAGACUUGAUAUGAUGUUCAUUGUGAGUUUAAUUAGUCGUUACAUGUCUAAGCCUAUAGAGCUACAUCUGCAAGUACCUGAAAUAGCUCUUAGGUACUUGAAUGGCACAAUAAACUAUGAGAUACUUUACAAGAAGGGUGGAGCUGAAGAGCUUCUUGCAUUCACUGACAGUGAUUACGUCAGGGAUGUCGAGGAUAGGAGAAGCACCUCAGGAUAUGUUUUUUUAAUGAAUUCUGGAGUUGUGUCCUGAUUGUCAAGGAAGCAACCACUAGUCACUUUUAGAGAUGGCCAACAGGCCGUGCCGUGCCGGCCCAGACCCAUCCAAGGAAGCCCACACGUGCUGGUGCUCGUGUUGUGCCUAAUUUUUGUUGCUUAGGCCUGGCUCAGCACCACUGAUACCGUGCCCACACGUGUCGUGCCGUGCCGUGCCCAGGAAAAAAAGCCCACUAAGUUUUUUUCAUUUUUUAUUUUUUUAAAAGCGUAUGCCAAGUUGUUGUCUUAUUUUUUUUAAGCCUAUGUACUUUUUUGGAUCCAUGUGCCUUUAUUCAAAUUUAAUAGAAUCAAAAAUUCAAAACUCAAGUCUAUAUUCAAUAAUAAUAAAUUAAUAAUAAUAAGAGAAUGUAAUAUUAGUUACUAAAUUUGACGUUGUGGUAUUAGAAUUCUUUUUUAGUACCUAACAACAACAAUAAUAAUUUUUUUAAGGGUUAACUUAAUUGUUAAUUUAGAAUUAUGUACAAUCAUAUAUCAUAGUUUAUAAUAAUAUUAAUACAUAUUUAUAAAAUCAUGAUAUCAAUUAUUUAAUUAAUAAAUUAUAAACAUAAAUCAAUUAUAAUUUUUUUGAAACUAAGAAUUAAAUAAAUUUAAAAAACUUGAGCUAAUAAAAUAUAUUAAAAGAUUCAAUUUCAAGUUAUUUAUAAAAUCAUAAAAUUUUAAGUUUACUUUCAUUAAAAAAUGAAACGUACUUAUUGCGUGCUUUUUCGCGUACCGUGUUUUUAAGGCCCAUGUGCUUAAAAUUCUAAGCCCGGCCCAACCCACGUGCGUGCUGUGCCAUAUCGUGUGCUCUACGGAAACGUGCUCAUGCCAUACCAUAUUGUACGGACACGUACCGUGCCUCGUGCCAUCCAGCCCAUUAGCCACGUCUAGUCACAUUAUCAAUCACUGAGGCUGAAUUUGCGGCAGCUGUAGCCUAUGCUUGUCAGGCUGUUUGGAUGAGAAGAAUACUACAGUAGGAUUAUUUGCUGGAAUAAAUCCCUAACUUUUAGGGUGUUAGUUGCAUUGUUUGACAUUUUCUUUGUUACUUGUACCACAAUGCUUUAGUUGUGCAUUAGUGGGCUAUUAUUUCUCUUUUUCUGUUACUUUGUAAAGCUAUUUAAGCCAAGUUCAUCUAUUCAAUAAAGUAAGCAAUUUUCAAAUUGUUUAGAGUUCUUGAUUUGCAAUUUCUUCUGCGAUCAUUAAUUUCCUACGCCAGCAACUAGCUGUUAUUUGGCAGUUUUAGUUAUGGGUUUGGAAGAUAUAGCUUUUGGAACUAAUUUUUUUAAAAUUGAUUUUGGAACGUCAGUUUUGUUUACGUUUCACGACUCACACGUGUUGUGGAGGUAAAGUUAAAUUAAAUUUUGUAUUUUUCUUUUGUUGAAUUGAAAUUGUUAAUUUUAAUUUUCUAAUCAACAAAUGAUUUUAAUUUUUUUUGGAAUUACCAUUGUUAAUUAUAGAAAUGUUUAUUCAUGAUGAAAAUUUUCAUCUCAGACUCAUUAUGGUAUAAUUGUACUGGUCUCUACACCCAAUCUAUGUUAGGUAAUAGUCGUUUUUUGUACUCUCAUUAAUGAGAUAAUUUGACAACACUAAUGAUUUGAAUAAUACAUAAAGUGUCGCAUCAUUUGAGAUAAUUUUUAACCAUAUAUAUUGUUAUUCUAUAAAAAAAAAAGUGUUGGAAAAAUAGGAUAAUGAGUUGCUAUUUAAAAACAUAAUUUUGAGUGGUAUACACUUAGUGUGAGUAGAAAGUCAAUAAUAAUUCGAAAUCUCCUCCAUGAGUACUCCAAAAUGAUGUAUUUGUAUACUGAAUAUGAUGUUGGUUAAAUAGGAAAUUGAUCCUCAAAAUAAAGCAAGAGUUACAGAGAUUGUAAUGGCUAGUUAAAUUCAAAAUUAACUAUGCAAUCCAUUCCAAGAAUUUAUUAUUUGUAACUGCUAAUUAAAUGUAGAAUUUAUUAUGAGAUUAUAAUGGUCAAUUAAAUUUAGAUUUUGAUAUAAAAUUAAAUCCAAAAUUUAAUAUAUGAUUAAUGAGGCAGCGAUUACAUUUUGAAUUUAAUUUAAAGAUUUAAUAAGCAGCGCUUUUAAUGGAUAUUAAAACCAACGGUUAAAAGUGUGUUUAAUAAGAUAUUAAAUUGCAUCUGAAGAAAACUUAAAGCAAUCAAAUUUGUCACCAAAAUGCCGUGAUAUAAUUCUAUAAAUUGGCAUAUUCUUCUACCGCAUUUGUAGAGACACGAGAUAGUGUAAGUGGUGGAAAAUAAUGAGAAUACAAGUGAAGAUAGAUUGAAGAGUAGGAAUAGAUGAUCUGCAAUUCAUUCUUUGUCAUAUAUCCAUUUUGAUAGAGUUUUAAACACAAUUGAAAUUCGCUGCGAAAUAACCUAUUGCCGCACCAAAGCUAUCCAUCACCAUUGUAUCCUGAAAACAGAUGCCAUUCGAAUCCUAAGACACCCAAAGUAGGAAGCAAAGCUUUUUAAACAAACUAUGCUAUCACAUAAGCCUCCAUUUGCAUUCUAUUCUUUGGUUUUACUUUAUGUUAUUAUUUCAUUGUAGUAAUUAUUAUUUCUGCACUUAUUAUUCUAUAAAGUCACAAUUUAUGAUUUGUAAUUUUAGAAUCUGUUCAUCCUAUAUCAGUUGUAUAUAAUGUGUUUUUCUCUUGCAAAAAUUUGAUGAAAUCUUAAUCCAUUUUGAUUUCUAAAAAGGGGAGAAAAAAAAUAAAAUAGAUUAGUAAUGCGUCAGCUUUCCAACGGCUCAUUUGUGACUUUUUUUAUUUUUAGUCUUUUAAUCACUAACCCUCUCAUGAACACUAGAUAGCUAUCAUGUUCAUGCAAUACAAGUCACUUUCAAGAAGCCUUGCUAUUGAAAUGGUAGACAUGCAACACUCAAAAUCUCAUGCUCAAGAGCAUGGCGGUUCGAGUCCUCUUCAAGGCAUAAUAUUGAGAAUGCUCGUUGAAUGAGCAAUUCAAUAAGAGAUCUCGGAUUGAACUAAUAUAUUGAUUCAAAUUUGAGUGACUAAUUAAAUAAAACUGCUUGAAAACUACACCUGCAUAAGUCCACGUGGGUUCUCAAGUUCUAUGUUAACUAUUAUUCUUCUCGGCAAGUAUCAAUUCUUCUAUUGCAGAUGCCAUUGUUGCAGAAUAGAAGUCAGUUGAAGCUCUUAAUAUUAUGAUUGAAGUUUAUGCAAGUGCAGAUUGCAGACAGCAGAUAUCGACUUGAAGCCUCAUGUAUGGAAAUAAAGAUUGGUUUUCAACCAAAUAUGACGACUGGGACAAUGUCGGGUGGUUAAGGAAGAUGCAAUGGUCGUCUCAAAAAAUUGGGUUUCAUUGGCCAGAUAGGACUGCGAUGUCAACUUUUUUUUUUCUUUAAUAUGAUUAAGAAUGAAAGAGUAAUUUUGACACAUUGACUUGGGCUUGUGAUUGUUAAUAAAUUUAUUACUUCUUUUCAUUAAUUUGACCUGCAUAACAAUUAAUUGAGUGAUUUUUAUUUUUCAAGAUACUUGCUACCCUCCCGAGUUCGAAUCUUCGGUUGAAAAUUUUGAUUUAAACUUAGUCUUCAUCUCUCAUUUAUAAAUAAUAAAUUAAUUAAUUAAUACAUAAAUAAAUAAAACCUACGUGAAUGUAGAAAUGAAUCAGAUGAAAAGUAAAUAUUGUAUAAAUACCCGCAUAAUGUGGUUCAGCUGCUUUGAAUAUUAUGCCAAGAAUAUGCAAAUCUGUUGGUUAGUGUUGACUUUGAACUACCUGAAGUACACAAGGGACUUUAACAUAGACUUAAUAACCAGAGGAAUUUCUGGCAAUUUAAGAAAAAAAGGGAACUAAGAUUCAUUUGAUUAUUCUUCCUCCCUGAACCUUAACAAAGAAAUUAAUUACAAAAAUAGUUUUUUGAAGUCUUUAAAAGUAAACCUUUCAGGAUCUCUUCAGAGAGCCGAAGAAAUGAAACAUGAGAAAACUUUGAAGUGCAAAGUAAUUUGGAGCUUACACAUCUUGAAACUCUUAAUCGGUGAAGCAACUGUGAUGUAACCUAACAGAAUGAUUAGAAUUUUCUGACUAUAUAUGUUAACCCAUCCAUCAUAUUAUCUAUAUGUGUAUUCAGCACAAACCUUUUAAUCUUGUAAAAACUCAAAAUGGAGAACUGUUUUUCGUUCAAUACUUGCAGCCUUUAGAAGCUCAUCAUGUCCUUCACAAGUCCCAUUGUCCAGUGUCGCAAGAGUUUGUUAAAAUCAUGAAUCAGUAUUGUGAAUUGGGUUAGUUAUAUUCUAUUAAGUUCGUUGCUAUUUCUCAAAAAAAAAAAAAAAAGAAAGUUCGUUGCUGAGGUGGGUUGAUGAGCUGGCGUUUGUGGGACCCUUAGUGGUUAAGUUGUUACAACAGUCCUACAAGUUUUUGGAAUUAAAUAUAAAAGAAAGCAAUGCUGGCCGGUGCAGCACCUAACGAAAAGAUCUUGACUAGCUUUGAGAUAGAUUUUGUUAAUUCUUCAUUGAAGGGAUUUAUUCUCUGUGAUCUCAAGAAUUGUAGUAAUCAAUAUCUUAAUAAAAGCUUAUUAUCAGCCAUGGAUAUAGGUACUAUGGUACCAAACCACGUAAUAUUACAAUGUUCUUUUUCUCUGCUUUUUUAGUUUCUUUGUCAUCUUUGUUCUUUGUUCUUUGAUCUAGUGUCAUUAAUUCUUUGCGCCAUUAAUUGGACUGGUUAAUUGGCUAGUCUGAUUAAGAGCUGAAAGAGAAGAAAAGGCCUUGAUUCAUAACAAAUUGGUGUCAGAGCCUUGGAGCUCUUUGCUCUUGAUCUUCAAAUGGCAAAGUAUCAGAUUUGAUCUCAAAAAAUUCAAUGGUGAAAAUAAUUUCUACUUGUGGAGUCUCACAAUGCGUGCAAUUCUAUUUCAAGAAGGGCUUGAUAGUGCUCUUGAUGAUGAUGAAUAUCCAAAGGAUAAGAAAGAGAAUGAAGAAGGUUCAUCAAGUUCCGGAGGAGACAUGGGGUCCAUUAACAAUAAGGCUCACAACAACAUCAUCUUACAUCUUUCAAGUGAAGUCCUGAGAGAAGUGGGAAAAGAAGAGACUGCUUCUGGUCUAUGAGCAAAACUUGAAGAGCUAUUCUUGAAGAAAUCUUUGGCCAAGAGCCUCUGUAUGAAGAUGAAGAUGUACACAUUUUCAAUAAAGGAGGGGACAACUAUGAAAGAUCAUUUGGAUGAGUUCAACAAGCUGAUAUUGGAUCUUAAGAAUGUUAACAUUGUUCUUGAAAAUGAGGAUAAAAUUCUUAUCUUGCUAAGCUCACUUCUAGAUUCAUAUAAGCAUUUUAUGGGUACUUUGCUGUAUGGAAGACAAUCACUCACUUUGAAGAAUGUGAAAAAUGCAUUGGAAUCUAAAGAUUUAAAGAAAAGAACAGAAAUAAGGGAUUAAAAUCUUAGAGAGGGCCAUAGUUGUCAGAUUCAGAUUAGAGAAGAAAGCCAAUAAAGAGAAAAAGAAUAAUAAUCAGAGGGAUAAAGUUGAUAACAAGAAGAAAAAAAAUGCUACUUAUAUCAUAAAGAAAGACAUUAUAUUAAGGAUUGCUUUGAGAAGAAAAAGCUUAAGAGGCUGUAAAAGGAACCAAAUGGGAAGGCUGCCAUUGUAUUUGAAGAUGAGGGAGAUUCAGAAGGAGCAGAUGUCCUUAUUACACUGAAAAAUAACUUACUGGUGAGUGGAUACUGGACAAUGUAUGUUUUUUUUUUUCAUAUGUGCCUAAAUAGAGAUUUGUUCAAGACCUUUGAAAGCAUUGAUGGGGGCAAAGUCUUGCUUGGAAACAAUCUUUCUUGUAAGGUUGCUGGAAUUAGAACCAUUAGUAUCAAGAUGUUUGAUGGGGUAACUAAGGAUCUAAAACCAGUGAGAUUGAAAACUUUUCUAUAUUUCUCUAUAUCGUAAAAGGUAACACAAAUUCCUCUUAUAGAAGAGAAUACAUAAAAUUGGGAAACUGACAAUAAAUUAGCUAUCUAGUUGUACUAACUAUUUCAUAAUUUACACCAUUGACCUAUUCUUAUUUACAGCUAACAAUCCUCUCUAACUACAAAUAUUUCUUUCCUUUUCUACACUCCCCCUCAAGCUGGUUUGAAGCUAUCCUCCAUAGCCAGCUUGCCAAUUAGCUCGUUGAAUUUCCGAGUAGGAAGCCCCUUAGUAAGUACAUCUGCAACUUGCUGAGUAGUGGGAAUGUAAGGCAUACAUAUUAACCAUUUCUCAAGUUUUUCCUUGAUGAAAUGACAUCUUUAUUGUCACAAUACACUUUCAUAGGUAGUGAAUUAGAAACUUUCAAUUCUUCUAAGAGUCUUUUAAUCCACAACACCUCACAAAUCCCGAAAGCAGUUGAUCUAAACUCAGCUUCUAUGCUGCUUCUUGCCACCACAUUCUGUUUCUUACUUCGCCAUGUAAAAAGAUUGCCACCAAUAAACGUGCAAUAGCCAGAAGUUGAUCGUUUAUCAACAACACUUCCAAUCCAAUCCGCAUCAAUAUAGACUUCAACUUGCAAGUGCCUACGAUUAUUUAAUAACAAACCGCAUCCAGAAGUCCCCUUCAAAUACCUGAGAAUUCUAUAGACUGCAUUGAAGUGUUCUUGUCUAGGGGAAUGCAUAAACUGGCUAACCAUGCUCACUACAAACGCUAUAUCUAGACGAGUAUGCGAUAAGUAAAUCAGUAUUCCAACAAGUCUUUGGUAUUGUUCUAUGUCCAAGACUUCUUCAGGUUUAAGAGGCUAUAAUUUAAGGUUGAGCUCAAUAAGUGUUUCUGCUGGUUUACACUCUAGCAAGCCCAUUUCAUUAAGCAAAUCAAGGACAUAUUUACGUUGAUUCACAAAUAUACCUUCUUUGGAUCUAGCAAACUCCAUUCUGAGAAAGUAUUUCAAUGUCCCUAAAUCCUUGAUCUCAAAGUCAGCUGCAAGUCUCUUCUUCAAUUUUUCUAGUUCUUCACUGUUAUGAUAUGUCAUGACUAUAUCAUCCAUAUAAACAAUUAGUAUAGCAACUCUACCUUCUCUACCAUGUUUAUAGAACAUAGUAUGAUCAGCUAGGCUUUGACAAUACCCACAAUUCUUUACAUAUUUCCCAAAUCUCUCAAACCAAGCUCUAGGGGACGCUUGAGGCCAUACAACAACGUUUUUAGUCUAUAGACUUUCAUUGAUCCCAAAUUCUUCUCAAAACUAGGUGGUAGACUUAUAACAAUCUCUUCCUUAAGAUCACCAUUCAAAAAGACAUUUUUUUUACAUCCAAUUGGUGUAGUGGCUAGUUCAGAUUUACAGCCAAAGAUAAUAGAAUUCUAAUUGAGUUUAUCUUGGCUACCGGAGCAAAGGUCUCCUGACAAUCAAUCUCAUAGGUUUGAGUGAAUCCCUUAGCUACUAAUCUUGCCUUAUACAUUUCUAUGCUACUAUUCGCUUUACACUUGACAGUAAAGACCUAUUUGCAAGCUACAGUCUUCUUCUCUUUAGGCAAAUCGACUAAUCUCUCAAGUACCAUUUCUCCUAAGAACAUUCAUCUCUUUUAUCACUGCCAAUUUCCAAUUUGGAUUACCAAGAGCUUCCUGAAUGUUUCUUGGGAUAAAAAAGUGUGAGAUUUUUUAGGUAAAUGCCCUAUCAGUAUGAGAAAGUUUGUCAUAAGAAAGAUAUUGAGCAAUGGGAUAUCUAGGAUUCUUAGUGAGAUUUCGGAUUCCUUUUCUAAUGGCAACAUGAAUAUUAAGGUUUGAUGAUUCUUUGCUAGGGAAAAGCAUGGGAAUUGAAGAUGAGUUAGGAUUGAAAAUACAUGUGAUAUUUGUAGGUCCAAUCCCCAAGGGUUGUGAUUGAUCGUUACCAAGAGUAACUGGCAGCCUUUGAGUUUUUUUUAUGAUGUUUUCUUUGAGUAUAAACCAAAAGCUCAGUUGUUAGAAUCAUUUUGAUACGACAGUAGUAGUGAUUCUCCCCCUAUUUCAGAUACAAUAAUGUUUGGCAUUAUAUUACCAGAACUUCCCUCAUUGUUCUCAGUGUUUUUAUCAUCACGUUGUUCUUGACUUUGAAGGCCAGAAAUGGUAGGAUGAGAGGAAUGAGGUAUAGUAGUCAAAAUUAUUUUUGGUAAAGAGUUAGAAGAUAUAUCCCAAAACGUUUCUUCCAUUACCUCAUACUCCCCCUAAAUAGAAUUUUUUUGAAAGUAGGAUUUUUUUUUUCAAAAACCGAGAUAUCUAUACUCACAUAAAAUUUCCUUGUUUGGGGAUUAUAGCACUCAUAUCCCUUUUAUUGGAGGCAUGCCCUAUGAACACAUAUUUUUCUGCCCUUGGAUCAAGUUUGUACUGAGUGUUAUUAGGUAUACGAACAAAGAUAGUAUAGCAAAAAACUUUAGACGUAAAUCUGAGUACAUUCUAGAUAGGGGAAAGCAUUUUUUAAAACAUUCUAGAGGUGUACUAUAUUUUAAAACACAUGUAGGCAUCCUAUUAAUUAAAUAAGUUGAUUUUAAAACAGCUUCUCCCCAAGAUAUUUUGGAAUAUUCAUCGAAAACAUUAUAACACGUGUUACUUCAAAUAAAUGUUUAUUUUUUCUUUCAGUAGUCCCAUUUUGCUGAGGCAUAUCUACACACGUGGACUGGUGAUAAAUACAUUUUUCUUUAAAAUUUUUUCCAAAAUACCUUUAUAGUACUCGGUUCCAUUAUCAUUGUGAAGAACCCUAAUUUUCUUUUGAAAUUGAGUUUCAACCAUUGUGUAAAAGUCUUUAAAAUUUUUUCCAACUUCAGAUUUUUCACUCAUUAAGUAAACCCAACAUAGACGGGUGUGAUAAUCUAUAUUAAGUAAACCCAACAUAGACGGGUGUGAUCAUCUAUGAAUGUGACAAGCCAUUUUUUCUUUGAAAUAGUAAUAACUCUUGAAGGUCCCCAAACAUCACUACGUAUUAAAUAAAAUGGUUUUGAAGGAAUAUAAGGUUUUGGCAAAUAAGUAGUACGAUGAAUCUUAGAUAAGCAACAACUUUCACAGUAAAAUGAUGAAAAAUCCAAACCCUUAAAUAAAGUAGAAAACAAAUGUUUAAGAUAUUGAAAGCUAGAAUGUCCCAAUUUUAAAUGCCAAAGCAUUAUUUGUUCAUAAACAGAGUUAGAACUAACACUACUAAAGCCCUAAGAAAUCAUCAUCAAAGUAGUAAAGGCCACCAAUCAACUUAGCACUGCCAAUCUUCUUCCUCGAGGUUUGGUCCUGAAAUUCAUAGUAAGAAUCACAAAAAAUCACUCGGCAAUUAGAAUCUUUAGUUAUUUUACUCAUGGUUAAAAGAUUACAAGCUAACUUGGGAACACGAAGAAUAGAAUUAAGGUUUAAUUUUUUGGAUAAUUUAAUCAAACCUUUCCCUACUAUUGGUAACAAAGUACUAUCUGCAAUUCUUAUUUUGUCAAGACCAAAAGAUGGUGAGUAAGUGCAAAACAAAUUUGAAAGGUUGGUCAUAUGAUCAUAAGCUCUUGAAUUUAUAAUCCAAGGAGCAUAAUUUGACAUGAAGAAAGAGCAUUGGGUGUGCUACCUAUUUGUGCAAGAGAAACAGUAGGAAUACUACUUGGUGAGUAAUUGGGUUUUAGCAACUGCAGAAGGUAAUCCAUUUGCUCCUUGGUGAAAGGGCCUGUCUCGGCUUUAUUUGCAGUAGAAAUCAACCAGGUAUUUUUAUCACCAGGCUUGCUGCUCUUUUAAUUUGCUAGUUUUUCUUGGAUUUUCCAGCAUGUUUCUCAAGUAUGACGUGGUUUGUUGCAAUAGUCACACCAUACCCGUAGAUUCUCUUCAGUUUUAUGCUGAAAUCUAGCUGUUUUGUUAAAAACAACCAAUGCACUAAGAAGGGCAGAACUUUCAGUAGGCUCGUCAGUUGUCUUCUUUCCUAGCAUUACAUGUCUACGACUUUCUUCUCUUCGAACCUCAAUAAACACCUCGCCAAUUAGAGAAAGUGGCUUCCUGCCAAUGAUCCACCCCUGAACCUUAUCGAACUCAACGUUGACUCCUAUAAGAAACUUGUAAAUACGAGAAGCCUCAACAAUAUUGUUCUAAUAUUUGGCAUCUUCUGUGAAUUUCCAUUCAUAAUCGUUGAACAUAUCUAAAUCUUGCCGAACAGAUUAAGACUACCUUAAAUAAUUUUCACCAUUAAGGAAAAUAAUGGUAAUUUGAAUUAGAUAAGUAUCAGUAUUGGGAGUUUGGGUUUGUGUUGGAGAAUUGGUUGAAGCAGAUAUAAUCGAUUGAUUAUGAUGGCUCUGAUACCAUGAAAACUUUUCUGUAUUUCUCUAUAUCGUAAAAUGUUACACAAAUUCCUCUUAUAGAGGAGAAUACAUAAAAUUAGGAAACUGAAAAAAAAAUUAGCUAUCUAACUGUACUAGCUAUUUCCUAAUUUACACAAUUGACUUAUUCUUAUUUACAACUAACAAUCCUCUCUAAUUACAAAUAUUUCUUCUCUUUUCUAUAGAGAUAUAUGCCAGACCUUACAAGAAAUCUCAUAUAUCAAUGGAUGAUUGAUCAACUGGGCUGUAGCAUUAAGGUAGAAUAUGGUCAAAUACAAGUUAUAAAUAAGGGUGCUGUUAUUAUGAAGGGAAUUAAAAGGAAUGGUUUGUGUGUUCUGGUUGGGUCAUUACCUCAGUUAGGGGUAAAUGCUAGUGUAAGUAGUGACAAAACCAAACUUUGGCAUAUGAAGAUAGGACAUAUAAGUGAAAAAGGUUUGAAAGAACUAAGAAAGCAAGAGUUAUUUGGUCAUAAUCAAAUUUCCUCACUAGAGACAAAAGUUCAAGAGAAGAAGACAUGAAACAAAUAGACAUUGGAUUAUGUUUAUUCAGGUUCCAUCUCAUGGUGGAGCUAGGUACUUUAUUACCUUCAUGGAUGACUUCUCAAGGAAUCUUUGGGUUUAUGUGUUGAAACAUUAAAGUGAAGCCCAAAAAAAAUUCAAGGAAUGGACAGCCCUAAUGAAGAACUAAAUUGGAAGAAAAGUGAAGAGAUAAAGAACAGACAAUGGCCUGGAGUACUGCAACAGUGAGUUUGAUGAGUUUUGUAAGAAGCAUGGCAUUAUGAGGCAUAAGACAGUAAAACAUACACCACAGCAAAAUGACCUUGUUGAAAGAAUGAACAAAACCUUAAUUGAGAAAGUCAGAUGAUAUUAUUUAGUUUUAAUCUCUUUAACCAUUUUUGGGCUGAAGCAAAUUGCUGCAUAUCUUAUCAACAAAAAUCCCCCAUCAGCUUUGGAGUUUAAAACUCCACAAGAAGUCUAGUCUGGCAAACCACUUGAUCUAAGUAACCUAAGAAUCUUUUGUUGCCCAGCUUAUGCACAUAUAAGUUUGGGAAAGCUAAAACCAAGGGCUGUUAAAGGUUAUUUUAUAGGAUAUUCUGAAGGAAUUAAAGGAUAUAAGAUUUAAAGUAUUGAUGGGAAGCCUAUUAGAACCUUUAUUAGUAUAGAUGUUGUGUUUAAUGAGGAGGUAUUGAUACAGACAAAAGUUAAAAUAGAGAUCUUUACUAAUUUUAAAGGAAAUUCACAUAUGAUGGUGGAGUCAAUAGAUACUCAGAGAUCCAGAGAAGAGAGAGAAUAAAGAGUGCACAAACAUUCAGAAUUAGAAGGAUAUCAUCUUGUAAGAAAUAGAGAAAGAAGAGUUACUGUAAGGCCUAAAAGAUAUGGUAUUGUUGUUUUAAUCUCAUAUGCAUUUAUGGUUAUUGAUGAUGUAAGUGGUUGAGAACUUAUCAGCUACAAAAAGGCCGUGAGUAGUAAGGAGAAGUCAAAAUGGCUUGUAGCAAUAAAAGAAAAAAUUGCCUCUUUCAAGAAAAAUAAUACGUAGAUCCUAGUUGACAAACUUUUAAACAAGAAACUGGCUAGCUAUAAAUGGGUUUUCAAGCUCAGAAAGUGAUCAUGGGCAACCUAAAUAUAAGGCUAGACUUGUAGCAAAAAGGUUUACACAAAGGGGAGGAAGCAUUUUCACCAUUAGUUAAACAUAGCUCUAUAAGGGUUUUAUUGGCUAUCACUGCAUUCUUAUAUCUAGAAUUAGAUCAAAUGGAUGUCAAAAUAACCUUUUUGCAUGGUAACUUAGAUGAAGAAAUUCUAAUGGACUAAUCAGAAGGAUUCAUUAAAGAAGGAACUAAAGAUAUGGUUUGCUUAUUACAUGGCUCGAAAUAAUCCUUAAGACUAUGGUAUUUAAGGUUCGAUGAAUUUAUGAUCACUCACGGAUACUUUAGAAGUCAAUAUGAUAGUUAUGUGUACUGCAAACUUUGCCUUUUAGAGGUACUAUAUAUCUUCUUUUAUAUGUUGGUGACAUGCUUAUUGCAUGAAAACAAAGAGAAGAAAUAGAGAGGCUUAAAGAUGAACUAAGUUCUGAGUUUAAGAUAAAGAACUUAAGCCCUACAACAAGGAUUUUAGGAAUGCAGAUCAUAAGAGAAAGAAGUGAAAAAACUUUGUUCCUUUUCACAUGCUGAUUAUGUCAGAAAGGUGCUUAACAGAUUUGGUAUGCUUAGUUCUAAACUUGUUACUAUACCUUCUUGCACAUUUCAAACUGUCUAAACAACAAGAACCAACUGAAGGAGCAGAUGUUGAGCACAUGAUGAAAAUACCUUAUUCUAGUGUAAUGGGGAGCAUCGUGUAUGCUAUGGUUAGUCUAGAUCCGAUGUUUGCAUAUGGAAUAAGAGUUUUCAGCAAGUUUAUAAGAAAUCCAGGGAAAAAACAUUGAGAGGUUGUUAAGUGGAUACUUAGAUACCUUAAUGGUACAACUAAUAAUGGUAUUUUAUUUGGAGGAAUUAAUAAUACACAAGUAAAAUCUUAGGCUAUGUGGACUUAGAUUUUGCUGGCAACUUGGAAAAGAAUGCCAGUUACUGGAUUUGUCUUCACAUUGUAUGGAGGUGCAAUGAGUUGGAAAGAAUCACUGUAAUCAGUUGUUGCUUUAUCUAGAACUGAAGUUGAAUAUGUUGCACUCAUAGAGGCUACGAAGGAAACAAAAUGGCUCAGAGGCUUGGCAUCAGAAUUAGGAUUGAGGCAAGAGUCGAUUUCCAUUAGUUGUCAUAGUUCUACUGCAAUACAAUUGAGCAAAAAUCCAAAAGAACAUGAAAGAACAAAGCAUAUUGAUGUUAGGCUACAUUUUAUCAGAGAAGAAAUUGGUUUUGGUGUGGUGAAUAUUAUCAGAGAAGAAAUUGGUUCUGGUGUGGUGAAUAUUAUCAAAAUCCCCUUAGUAAUCAAUCCUACUGAUAAUCUAACAAAACUUUUGCUUGUAGUCAAGUUCAUGGGCUCUUUGAACUUGAUUAGGGUUGUUAGCUUGUAAGUCAAGCUAUGUGUUGCUGAUACAGAGUUUGGGUGAAGCUUGAAAAUAAUAUAAAUGAAGAGGAGAUUUGUGAAUUGGGUUAGUUAUAUUCUAUUAAGUUAGUUGCUGAGGUGGCUUGAUGAGCUGCUGUGUGGGACCCUUGUAGUUAAGUUGUUACACGGUCCUACAAGCUUCUGGAAUUAAAUAUAGAAGAAAGCAAUGCUGGCUGGUGCAACACCCGGAGAAAAGAUCUUGACUAGCUUUGAGAUAGAUUUUGUUAAUUCUUCAUUGAAGGGAUUUGUUCUUGUGAUCUCAAGAAUUGUUCUAAUCAAUAUCUUAAUAAAAACUUCAGGCCCAAAGGGGUAAUAUCAGCCGUGGAUGUGAAUACUUUUGUAGCAAACCACGUAAUAUGGCAGUGUUCUUUUUCUCUGCUUUCUUAGUUUCAUUGCCGUAUUUAUUCUUUGUUCUUUGAUCUAGUGUCAUUAAUUCUUUGUGCCAUUAAUUAGAUUGGUUAAUUGGCUAGUCUGAUAAAGAAUCGAAAGAGAAGAAAAUGCCUUGAUUUCAUAACAAGUAUUCUGUCCUUAAAGGCUUUAAGUCAAUUAUUUUCUUAAACAAUUUAAGAGAAACUUUAAUUGCUUCAGUCUUCACUCUUCAACGUAUAUGAGUCUCUAUGAUAAGAGUUUUCUCCAAAUUCAAAUCCAACUUUAGCACCCAAAUUUUUGGCCUAAAGGGAAAAAAAAAAAUUAAAGGCUUUACGUACUGGAUACUGAGGUACACACUUCACAUAUUAAUGUAAAAACUAAAAAGUUAACAUAUAUAUCAAAGGCUUUAUGAACUGGAUAAGAGUCUUGACAUUUUUAUGUAAAAAUUAACAUAUCAAAGGCCUUAUGAACUGGAUAAGAGUCGAUCAUUUACCCCCAUUGGGGACUGAUACAAAGUUAUUCCAGUUGGCGCACAAUGUCUUGCAAAGCAAGCAAACGUUCCCCUCACUAGAUGUAAUUGAACAAACAAUAAUCACAAUUUUUUUUUUUUGGAAAAGUAAUUAAUUCAUUGAUUAGUACCAAAAAAUCAUUGAAAUUUAAUCAAAUUAUACGGAGUUGCAUACCAUUUUUGCUCUUUGUUAAGAAUUGAUAGUCUCUUAAUAAGAUUAUAAUUGAAAGAAUUAGAAAUGGAAUGAGGAAGAUCUUUGGGUGAUGAUAAUGUAAACCACAAGUUUUUAAUAGGGGACACUAAAACUUUUUUUUUAAUAUAAUACCCUUUAUAAAUAGCAACUAAAAAAUUGACCUUAAAAAUUUUAAUAAAUAAAAUAUAAUUUAAAUAGUUUAAUUUUUCUAAUAGACUAAUAAUAUUAGAAUAUUUUUAAUAUAAAAAUAAUUUUAAAACUAUAAAUGAUUAUAUUUAUUUUAAUAAUGUAUUUAUAUUUAUUCUAGAAUUUUUUAAUAAAUAUCUAGGUUAAAUAAAUUUUUCUAAUAGACUAAUAACACAAUGCUCGCAACAUGGUAAGUUUACCGAUUUGAGCCCUGGAAGCAAUUUUCGCUCAGAGAGAAUUUUCAAAUCUUGUUUUGACAUAUGACCGAGUUUGAGGUGCCACAUCAUCGUUGAUUCUUCUCCAUUUGACGCAACGCACGCAUCAGUUUCCUAUAGUGUUUCUCUUUCAAGCACGAACAGAUUAGAACCGAUCUUUUCUACCUUCAUCAAUAUAAGCGCACCUUUAACAAUCUUCAUAAUCCCACUUUCAACAUGGGUUUUACACCCAUGACAAUAUAUUGUCCCAAAGACAAAAGAUUUUUCUUCAGGCCUUUGACAUGUCGUACCUCUUCAAUUGUAUGAACCGUACCAUCAAAUAUUUUUAUUUUGAUAGUACCAAUACCAGCGAUCUCCAAGGCAUGAUCAUCUCCCAUGUAUACAGAUCCUCCUGAGGUUUAUAUGUGUGAAACCAUUCUCUUUGAGAGGUCAUGUGCCAGGUAGCUCCUGAGUCUAUGAGCCAAAUGUCAGAUAGCCAUUUUCUGCCUUAUGAAAUAGUUGUUGCCUCACUGUAGAGAAUUUCGCCAUCAUCUGAGGUACUUGCCAUACACCCUUGAGCAUUUGAUGACUCGGAUUUAUUGUCUCCACUCUGCUUGUUUUUCCAACACUCUUUCUUGAAAUGCCCUUUCUUGCCACAAUUGUAGCAUUUGACAUUUUUCUUACUUCUUGAUUUUGAUCUACCAUAAUUGUGACUCCUACUGGGGCCACAUUCUAUUGAUUUCUCUCUCGUUAUUGAUAGUGCUUCUGCUUGCUGCGAACUUACUUGUUUGUCUUCCUUACUUUUUCGCCUACUCUCCUCAUUUAAUACGGAGGCUGCAACAUCAUCGAAAACUAGAUUGUCCGCUGGGUUGUUGUUUGUCAGGUUGAUGAUGAGUUGAUCGUAUGAAUCUGGUAGACUUUGAAGUAUAAGCUCUGCAUGUUCAUUUUCCUCUAUUUUAUGACCCAACGUUGUAAGUUGUGAAAAUAGAGUCUUUAAGGUGUUGAUGUGGUCGGUCACCGAUGUACAUUCUGCCAUUUGAAGAGUAUAGAGUCUCAUUUUUAAGAAGAUCUUGUUGUGCAGUGAUUUGGUCUUGUACAAUUUUGUGAGAGUAUCUCAUAUUUCCUUUGCUGUCUUUUUCUCUGCCACAUUGGAUAAUACUUCAUCCUCAAGUGCCAAGUAUAGAUCAGAAAUGGUGUUACCGUCUAUCUCGUUCUACUUGUCAUCAAUUAACUCUAUAGGCUUUUCUCCAAUUGCUGUCAAGCAAUUAUUUUUCCUCAAUACAACUUUUAUCUUCAUUUUCCACAACGAAAAUUUAUUUCCGUUGAAUUUCUCAAUUUCGUAUUUUACCGCCAUCGCUUUUCACCAAAAGCUAACUUUGCUAAUAUUGACUCCCACCGCUUCACGUGAACAGUAACCGUAUAAGUGAAUAGUAACCAUAUAAGUGAUAGCCGUAUACGUGAACAAUACUUUUAUGUGAACAGUACCAUGACUCCAAAAAAAAAUACAACAAGUAGCUCUAAUACCACUGUUAGGAAAUUAAUGGGUGAAACAAGGCCACAACUAAAAUGAAAUUGGAAGAAAAUUUAUAAGUAUUGUAAUACUUUGUCUCACUACCCAAAACCUUCUCACUCAAUAUACUCACAAGAGCUUUAUAAUUUUAACCUCUUAAAAUCACUCAAGAUCUUAGCUUUUUCUCUCACCAAAAUUGGAUGCCUAAAACAAAAUGGAGAGCUCCCUUUAUAUAGCCAAAAUUGGCUAUUAAAAAAAUUAUUAUUAUUUUGUCCGCCUUUGAUUUCUUCAUUCUUCUAUUUUCUUCUUUCUUCUUUCUACUUCGGUGGUGCCAAACCCUUCAACAUUUGCUGCUUCCAAAUUCUAUUUUUCUUUCCUUGGGCAGCACCUCCUUGGACUUCAAUUUGGGCAGCUUAUACAGCUUCUAGAUCUUCAAAAUAUGCUACUUCUUGAAGCCUUUUCGUGACACAUUGCCUAGUAGAUUUACUCAAUCACAAAUUGGGUGGUUACAUAAUAUGUUUGAAAACCUUUAAUUAAUAAAAUUCUUAUCUAUUUUCUUUCGUAAUACGAUUUACCUAAGUCUCUCUUAUGAAAUCAUUUGCAUUAAAGCGUAAAUAAUCUCAUUACUUUGGGGUAUUAUUUGUCUUGGACUUCUUCUUUGAUCUAUCACUAUAUUACUUACCUUGGGCUGUCUCACUAUUCUCGUGUAAUAUUAUCUGCCUUGAGUCAUUCAUUUUUGUAUUGAGUGGUGAUAUUAUCUCAUCAGUUUUUAUAUUAAUUUCUAUUUUGCCGUUGUAUGAAAUUACUUAUUUUUUUGAAUUACUAUAUUAUUUGCCUUGGGCCGCCUCACCAUUUUGUUGCAUAAUCUGCCUUGGGUCAUUCAUUUUUGUAUUGAAUGGAGAUACUAAAGAAAUGUGUUUUUAUUUCUUGAAAUAAAACAUUAUACACUGAGAGUUAUUUAUAGAUGCAGAUGCUAUAUUUUUUCAAAGAUUACAUAUGUGAAUACGGAAGGAAAUGUGUCAAUCCGUUCGGCGCGGAUCGUGUCUUUGAAAAAUGCAGAUUAUCCCUUUGACAAGUGCGGAUUAUGUCUUUGAAAACUUUCUCCAAUGCCAUUUUAUUCAACACUCCCCCUCAAGCUGGUGCAUAGAUGUCUUGCAUACCCAGCUUGUCUAGGAAUUUUGUAAAUGCCCUGCUUGAAAUGGCCUUCGUUAAAAUAUCUACAAGUUGAUCUUCUGAUCGAAUUUUCGGCAGUUCUAAGAUUUUUUCAUCUAAUUUCUCCUUGAUGAAAAAUCUAUCUACCUCGACAUGUUUUGUUCGAUCGUGUUGAACUGUGUUAUGAGCAAUAUCUCGUGCAGCUUUGUUGUCACAGUAUAGUUGUAUUGGUUGUUAUAAUGGAUAACCCAAAUCGUUUAAGAUAAAGCUUAUCCAUAGCCCUUCACAUACCCCAAGGGCCAUGCCUCGAUAUUCUGUUUCAGCGCUCGAACGGGCAACGACAUGUUGUUUCUUGCUUCUCCAUGUGACAAGGUUGCCUCCCACAAAGGUAAAGUAUCAUGAAGUAGAGCAUCUAUCACUAACUGACCCGGCCCAAUCUGCAUCAGUAUAAACUUCUAUGUUGUUGUAAUCUUCAUUUUUUGAAAAUAGGAUUCCUUUCCCUGGAUUUGUCUUCAGGUACCUCAGGAUCGGCAUUACUGCUUUCAUGUGUUGUUCUUCGGGAUUAUGCAUAAAUUGACUUACAAUACUCAAUGCAUAAGCAAGAUUUGGCCUUGUGUGGGACAAGUACAUCAAUCUUCCAAUCAGUCUUUGAUAUCUUCCUUUGUUUACUGGAACUUGGUCUGAGGUAAUACAAAACUUCAGUCCUUCUUCUAUUGGGGUGUCAAUAGGCUGACAAGCUGUUAUUCCUGUUUCGUGCAAUAGAUCUAAGGCAUAUUUCCUUUGAGAUAAAAAGAUUCCUCCCUUAGAUCGAGAAACCUCAAUUCCAAGAAAGUAUUUUAAGGCUCCUAAAUCCUUCAUCUCAAACUCUCUCGACAAGUACUUCUGAAGAGCCUCUCUUUCUUCCUCGUCGUUGCCUGUAACUACCAUAUCAUCUACAUAGACAAUAAGGGCAGUGAUUUUCCCUUGUCGUUUUUUAAUAAACAAGGUAUGAUAUGAAUUGCUUUGGUUAUGCCCAAAAAGAACCAUAACCUUUGUGAAUUUCCCGAACCAUGCUCUUGGGGAUUGCUUCAACCCGUACAAUGAUUUCUUCAAUUUGCAUACUUUCUGAUUGAGUCGUUCUGAUCCACUGCAUCCUGGUGGCAGAUCCAUAUAUAUUUCUUCAGACAGGUCUCCAUGGAGGAAAGCAUUCUUUACAUCGAACUGUUGCACUGGCCAAUCCAAGUUGACUGCUAAUGAUAACAAGAUACGAAUAGUAUUAUUUUUUGCUACCGAUGCAAACGUAUCGGUAUAAUCUAUCCCGUAGGUUUGGGUGUAACCCUUAGCUACAAGUCUUGCUUUGUAUCGUUCAAUAGAGCCAUCUGCUUUGUACUUUAUAGUGUAGAUCCAUCGGCAACCCACUAGUUUCUUUCCUGGUGGAAGAUCAACUAGUUCCCAUAUUUGAUUUUUUUGAAGAGAUCUCAUUUCGUCAUUCAUAGCCACUUUCCACUUUGGGUCUUUUAAGGCUUCCUGCACACUGUUAGGAAUAGAUACAAUAGAUAAUUGAUUCACAAAUGACUGAUUUGCUUCUGACAAGCGAUGGUUAGACACAAAAUGACUCAUAGGGUAUUUGACUCUACUAGAGAGGUUGGGCUCAUAUGUGGGUUUAGCGAUACCUCUAUUUUGACGUUGGGGAAGAAUUCUUCUGAUUGGACUUGUGGUAGGAACAUCCUCUGCAGACGAUUGGUUAGGUAUUUCUUCAUGUGACUCAUUCUCGAUUGCAGUUGUGUCUAAGUUAUUGUGCUCCCCAAAUGUGUCUUUACUUAUCUUAGCCUGAGAAUCAUCACCAUUUUCUUUUCCAGUAUCUUGAAGGUUUACUACCUCAAUGGAAGAUUGACCUUCUUCAGGUGGAAGAUACGUAAGAGUAUGAUUUUCCUCUUCAUUAUACUCCCCCUGAAAUUCAGGCUCUGACAAGUAGUACAUGAUAUCUUCAUGAAAGACGACAUCCAUGGUGAUGUAUAUUUUUCUUGAUGGUGGAUGAUAGCAUCGGUAUCCCUUUUGAUGUAAGGCAUACCCUACAAACACACAACGUAGUGCUCAAGGAGAUAAUUUGUAUUGUUGCAGCAAAUGUACGAAGGCAACACAGCCAAACACAUGUGGGGGUGAAUUUGGCACAUUUGGUGACAUAAUUGUAUCAUUCAGAACCUGGAAAGGAGUCUGGAAUCCAAGGGAGCUUGAAGGUGUUCGAUUGAUUAAGUAUACUGCGGAUGCCAGUGCUUCUCCCCAAUAAGAUAGUGGCAUGUGGGCUUGGAUUAAUGAUGCUCGAACAACUUCUAGUAAAUGUCUAUUUUUUCGUUCAGCAACGCCAUUUUGUUAGGGUGUCCCCACACAAGUGGUUUGAUGGACAAUUCCUCAUGAUUUCAUAAAUUGUUGAAUUGCUGUGCUUAUAUACUCGCCUCCAUUAUCAGUAUGUAGAACUCGAAUUUGUGUCUGAAAUUGAGUCGUCGCCAUCUUAUGAAAUCUUUGAAAUAAAGAGUUUACUUCGUCUUUCGAUUUCAUCAGAAAAAUCCAUGUCAUUCUGCUACAAUCAUCAAUAAAUGUAAGAAACCAACGAGCACCUCCAAUUGUAGAAACUUUAGAUGGCCCCCAUACAUAAGAAUAUACUACCAUGAAAGGAACUGGAUUCUUAUUUAAGGACAAUGGAAAAGUAGUUCGAUGGCUUUUUGAAAGUUCACAAACAUCACAUUUAAAGUUACAAACAUCAAGUUUCAGAAACAAACUAGGAAAUAAUUUUUUUAAGUAACCAAAUGACACAUGCCCUAAAUGUCUAUGCCAUAACCAAAUUUCUGAUUUCCCUUUUUUUAUGGUAUUAUCUGCGACUAGUGUGGGGCUUAGCUUUCCAGUGUUUGUUGAUGACAUCUCCAAGUAGUACAAGUUGCCUCGUCUAAUACCAUAACCAAUCGUUUGCUUCGUUUGGAUGUCCUUAAACACACAAUGAUCAGGCCAAAAAAUUACAACUGUUAGAGUGCAAUUUAAGCACUAGUUUUGCAUUGUUUACUUCCCUUAAUAUCGAUGUUUUGCACUUAAUAAUAGUGAUUUACUUGUGUUUUACUUUUGUAGGUGCAAUUCUAUUGAUUGGUGACAAAAUUAAGCUACAAGAUUAUAUUUAAUGAUGAUUGUUCUCUUGGAGAAAUUAUGAGCGUCAGAAGAACUUUAUUGAUAAGGCGUGGGCACAUGCUGUCAACUACGAACCUGCAGUUUUUAGUUUAAACGUGUUUUGUAUUUUUGGUUAUUUUUGUAAUUACGAAUUUAAUAUUUCAGAUAUUAGUAUUUUAUUUUAAAUAGAAUUCUAGAGGAGAAGAGAGGGAGAGUAUUUAAGGGAGGAAUCUAUUGUGAUAAGGGAGAUGUAUGUUUUAUUAUUGUCAACGAAACCCCCAUUUUAUGUUUUACGUUUUAAAAGGAUUUAAAUAAUUACCGAUCUCUGUGGACACGACCUUGCUCAAUCACUAUACACAAUUUAUUUAGAGUAUGUAUUUAUUUUUGCUGGCUUCGACAACCAUCAAAUUUUGGUGCCGUUGCCGGGGAUUGGUGUGAUUUAUUUAAUCCUUUUUACGUUUUACUUGGUGUAUGGUUCGUUCUUCUCGUACAGGUACACUUUCGUUUGAUCCUGAAAUUGAGAAGACAGCUCGCCAGCUGAGACAGCAGACGAAGUGAGCUAAGCAACGAUCCUCGUCGCCUUUGCUUUCUGAAACAGAUACGGUGCCUGAUUUAGUUGAAUCAUCUAGCGAUUCGGAAGAACAAGUGAUGGAUAGAGCUGCACUUGUAGAAAGAACUCUUAGAGAGUUAGCUGAACCAGACUUGAAUCAGCAACCACUCUGCAUUCAAUAUGUAGACUUGGAGGUAAAUUUUGAAUUAAAGUCUGGUCUUAUUCAUUUAUUACCCAAGUUUCAUGGUUUUGUAGGUGAAGAUCCUCAUAAACAUCUCAAGGAGUUUCAUGUUGUGUGUUCAAGUAUGAGGCCACAAGGCGUGACUGAAGAGCAGAUUAAGCUGCGUGCUUUUCCGUUCUCUGUAGAUGGGCUAGCUAAAGACUGGUUGUACUACUUGCCUCCUGGAUCGAUUACAACGUGGAAUGGUUUGAAGAAGCAGUUCCUCGAGAAGUACUUUCCUGCUUCAAGAGCUGCCAAUAUCAGAAAAGAUAUUUGUGGGAUCAGACAACUUCCUAGGGAGACUUUGUAUGAGUAUUGGGAGCGAUUCAAACAAUUGUGUGCCAGCUGUCCUCAGCAUCAGAUUUCUGAUCAACUUCUUAUUCAAUAUUUUUACGAAGGACUGUCAUUAAUGGAUAAGAGUAUGAUAGAUGCUGCUAGUGGAGGUGUGUUGGUGAACAAGACCCCUACUCAAGCAAGGGAGUUGAUCUCAAAUAUGGCUGCCAAUGCACAACAAUUUGGCAGCAGGCAAGAUGCCACUUCAAGAACGGUGAAUGAGGUAAAUAUUUCUUCUGUUGAACAACGUUUAGAUAAACUUACUUCUCUUGUGGAAAAGUUUGUUGUAGGUAAUGUGCAACAGGUAAAGACUUAUGGCAUUUGUUCCAAUAUGGGUCAUUCAACUGAUAUGUGUCCUACACUUCAAGAAGAACCCAUUGAAUAAGCCAAUGUAGUUAGAGGAUUUCCAAGCAUGCCUCAGAUGAGGUAUAAUCCUUAUGCACAAACAUACAAUCCGGGAUGAAAGGAUCAUCCCAACUUAAGCUAUGGAGUUAGGCCGUCAGGAUUCCUACAACAGUAUCCACCAAGACAACCAGCACUUCCACAGUUAAACUCCAAGUCAGGUAUAUCUCUUGAAGAAAUUGUUAAAUCACUUGCGACUAUCACUCAACAAUUUCAACAGGCAGCUACAGCAAGCAUUCAGAAUUUGGAGAAUCAAAUGAGUCAAUUGGCGACUACAGUGAGCUGUCUGAAGUCUCAAGUAUUAGGGAGGUUGCCUUCACAAUCUGAAGUGAAUCCAAAGCAAAACAUUAGUGCUGUCAUCCUUAGAAGUGGGAAGGAGUUAUAAGAGCCUAGUAAGAAAGUGACAAAGCAUGUAGAAGAUGAGCUUGAGAAGAAUGAAUUGAUGCCUAAAUCUCAAGAUGCGCAACCUACCAGAGCGAAACCCCUACCUAUUAUGAUACCUCCUCCUUUUCCAAGCCAGUUUGCAAAACCCAAGAAAGAAGAACAAGAGAAAGACAUCCUUGAGACAUUUCGCAAGGUUGAGGUAAAUAUUCCUUUAUUAGAUGCUAUAAAACAAAUACCUCGAUAUGCUAAAGUCCUUAAGGAACUGUGCACCUCCAAGAGAAAAUUAAGAGGAGAUGGAAAAGUUCACAUGAGGGAGAAUGUUUCAGCAGUUCUCUAAAAGAAACUACCUCCUAAGUGCAAGGAUCUAGGUAUGUUUACUAUCCCUUGUAAAAUUGGUAGUGUUAGAGUUGAAAAGACUAUGUUAGAUCUAGGAGCUUCUAUUAAUGUCAUGCCUCGUUCCAUUUAUUCAUCUUUGAAUGUUGGUCCAUUAAAAGAAACUGGCGUGAUCAUUCGACUAGCUGAUAGGUCUAAUGCAUAUCCUGAUGGGAUAUUAGAAGAUGUCUUAGUACAAGUUAAUGAGUUGGUUUUUCCUGCUGAUUUUUAUGUACUUGAUAUGGAAGAGGAUAACUCCUCUAAUUAUGUCCCAAUUUUGCUAGGAAGACCUUUUCUUAAGACUGUUAGGACUAAAAUGGAUGUACAUAAAGGGACUCUCACUAUGGAGUUUGAUGGAGAGGUUAUAGAAUUCAAUAUGAAUGAUGCCAUGAAAUAUCCUAGUGAGGAACAUUCGGUAUUUUCUGUGGAUGUUAUUAACCUUAUAGUGCAGGAAGUUUUUUACAAGGAAAAGACGAAGACAUUUCAUGAUAGAAUGAUUUUGAGAAAGGAGUUCUCUAUUGGUCAAAAAGUUCUUCUUUUUCAUUCUAAGCUUAAACUUUUUCCGGGUAAAUUACGUUCUUGUUAGGUUGGACCUUUAAUUGUUACUAAUAUUUUUCCUCAUGGUGCAGUUGAGAUUCGGAGUCCGACCUCUGACAAAGUUUUUAAGGUUAAUGGUCAUCGCUUAAAACCUUUUUAUGAAGGUUUUUCAGUGAAUAUUGUGGAGGAUGUGGCUCUCGAGAGUCCCAAUUAUGGAGAUUGAUGCAUAAAUGUGUCUAGCCAAAGACAUAAAACAAAUGCAUUUUUUGGGAGGCAACCCAAAUGAUUUAUUUAUUUUGGUUUUUGUUAUAUCUUCUUUUAAUUUUGAUUCAGAUUUUUUUUAAAAAAAAAAUUAAUGUGUUUGCUUAUUUUGGUCAGAAGAAAAUUUUUAAUAAGGCGUGCCCACGUGCUUAUUAGAAAUGUACUUCUGAAAUUUUUAGUGUCUCAAAGUGAUUCAUCACUAAAAAGAAAAAAGAAAAAAAAGAGUUUUUUCCCAUAUUUUCUUUCUUAUAUAUAUAUUUUUUAUUUAUUUAUAAAAAAAUGACAAAAAAAGUUUUUUUCCUUCUUUUCUUUCUUAUAUAUAUAUAUAUAUAUAUUUAUUUAUUUAUUAAAAAAAACACAAAAAAACAAAAAUCACAAAUCACUGUUCACAAAUCCCUAAUUCAAAAAAAUUCACUGUUGAUUAUCGUUUUCCCGCAGCAACCCUUAGCUCCAGCGUGCAGAACCAGCAGCAGCCGCAUCAGUCCCACCUGCAACGCAACCAGCCUACGCCAUGUAUUUCAGCCGGGUAAAUCGAAAUCCGUGAGUGCAAUUAUUGUAACAAUGCCGAAGAGGAAAGCAUCAACUUCCAAGUCAUCUAAAAAGACACCCAUCGCAAAGAAAUCCAAGAUUGCCGCUCCCACUACGAUUCCAUGGAACACAAUUUCAUAUUCACGCCAAGCCGUGAGACAAAGAUCGAAACAUGGAAAAGGCAUGAGUGUUUUGCCACUUGCGGAAUCCAAUCUCGGAGGAUGCCUCGCAUUCGCGACUCAACAAGAGAAAGAGAGGUACAAAGAUAUUUCCAUGCGCAAAAUACUUCCAGCUAAGUAUAUUCAUUACCCGACUCUUGAAAAAUUGAAUGUUAAGGAUAAUUUUGAUUCUUUGAUAGAUAAGAUUGGGUUGCGUAAGUUUGUUAAUGUUGAUUGUUUGGGUUAUAUUGAGUUGAUUAGGGAGUUUUAUGUUACUUUUCAAUUUAAUAUGCCGAAUGAUUUUACUUUGCAUACCCUGGAUGUCAUAAAGUUUAGGUUAAUGGGACAAAAUUUUUCACACUCUAUCACCGAUUUUAACCUAGCUUUAGGAUUCAUUGAUGAUGAUUAUUCUUCUAGUGAUGUAUAUUUAGGAACAACUUGUGACUUUAGCGAAAAUUUUGAGCCUUAUGAUCUUUGGCGUAAUUUAUCUGUUGAUCACAAUACCUAUGACCCGAGUAAAUCAAAGAGUUAUUUCUUACGUGAUCCUGUUUUGAAAUGUGUGCAUCGAUUCUUAGCAUAUAAUUUUGUAGGCAAGAAAGAUCACUCAGGAGUUUUCUCUAAAACUGAAUUUUAUUUUAUCUGGUGCAUGUUAAAUGAUGUGAGGCCUAAUUUAGGUUUUUGGUUAGCGGAUCAAUUUCAAAGUGUGCUUAAAUGGUAUAGGACUUUAUUUCUUGGUCCAUACAUUACUCUGUUAGCUAUAAACCUAUGUGCGCUUGAUCCUGACAAUAAUGAUUUGCAUUCUGCUUGCAAAAAGGAAUUUUUGGAUAUGUCUGUGUUUGAAAGAACAGGUGUGGUCGAAUUCAAGGAGGGAGAUUUCAGUUUACUGAACCAGGACCCACUCAACCUCCAAAGAAGCUUUAUCCUAGGAGUGGUGCUACCUCUGAUAACGAGUUUGACGACGACACUGCUGCCCCGCCAACUAUUCCUUCUACAUCCGCACCACCUUUGAGCAUUCAGUUAGAGAAAAUGGAGCACAAGCUGAACAUGAUGGAGCAGAAUUUGGCCGCAUACUUCGAGAGUGUGAGAUUUAUCCCACCAUUUCCGCCAAGCCCAUAAACGUUAUGUGGAUCAAAGCUCACAAUUCAGGGAAGUUUUUGCCUUUAAUCUUUUAUCCUUACGCUUUAAUUUUUAUGUGAGCUUUGAUUAUCUUACAUUGGGGACAAUGUAAGUUCUUGGUGUGGGGGAGGGAUUUUUGUAUUAUUGAUGUCUGGAAAUAUUAUUUUCACUCUACUCAUCUAUUUUCACUUUACUCAUCCUUAAAUAAUUUUGGAGUUAGUAUGCUUCAUAUAUUAUUAAUUUUCUUUUCCUUUCUCUCUCACUACUCUUUUCCCAUCUAUCUCAAAUUAUUUACAUCUAUUUUUUUUUCUAUCAUACUCUUUCAUCACUCACAUUUUAUCUUUCAUUUUUUUUACUACAUACAUCUUUCUCGCUUAUUAUCCUUUUUACCUUUCCUUUUAUAUCUCACUCAUACCUUCUUCUCAUUCUACACCACUAUUGAUGGUUGAUUCAUUUGAAGAGUGUACAUGAUUUGAUGGCAAAUUUACCAACUUUGUGAGGAUUUAAGCCUAUGAGCAACCACUUUGCUCUAAUUAUUUUUGUUAUGUGAAUAUCAAUCUUAGUUUGUAUAUUCUAGAACUUGCUUUGUUAUGCAUGUUGAAGCCACAUUACGGGAUUUUAUGCAUUAAAAUGAUAAGGGCAAACCAUUUACCAUUUUUAUAUUCUUGCAUUUUGUUUUUUCUCUACCCGAAGACAUUUAUUUGCUACCUUUGUUUGAGCCUUAACCAUUACCCAUCUAAUUCUCUCCGUCUACUUAACCAUUUUUCUUCUUUUUGAGCCUCAAUUUAAGGAGAUUUUUGGACUCAUUGUGUGGAUAUAUUUUGUUGCUUUUUCUACCUUGUAUUAAAGUUUCUCAAUUAGAUCAACAAGCAUUAUGCUUGAAUUAAAUUGUGCAAGGUUUGUUUCUUUUGUUUGAUUCAAAAAAAAAAAAAAACAACAACAAAAAAAAGGAAAAAGAAAAAAAAGAGAAAAAGAAAAAUCGAAAAAAAAAUUGAAAAAAAAGUUUACAUUCCUCAGUGACUUGAGUAGAAAUAAGCAUUUUGAUAUCAUAAGUUCAUUCAAUGAGUUCAUUAUUCUCAUUUUGAUCUCUUUUUCUUUCAUAGACCUUUCUUUUUCAUUUAACCUAUUUAACCCCAUUACAACCCUUUUAAGACCCUUAGAUUUUUGCAUUUUAUUAAUGUUUUGUGGAUUGAGAUGUGAUAUAUGAGCAAGCUUAUGGUAAUAGCAUUCUUUGAUUUGAUUUGAGUGAAUAAAUGACACCCUAAACACUUUGAGUGCAUGGAGUGAAGUCAAUGAGAGGGCUAUUAAAUCUUGUUGCACUUGAAUUUUGAAUGGAUCUUCUUGGUGGUUGAAUGUUCUUAUUCUAUCUUAUGAGAUUCUAUGCUUUAAAAUCCUUAUCUCUCGAAUGUUGAUCGACUUAAUUUUUUAGUUUAAACGUGUUUUGUAUUUUUGGUUAUUUUUGUAAUUACGAAUUUAAUAUUUCAGAUAUUAGUAUUUUAUUUUAAAUAGAAUUCUAGAGGAGAAGAGAGUGAGAGUAUUUAAGGGAGGAAUCUAUUGUGAAAAGGGAGAUUGGAGAAAAAGAAAGAAACCCUAGAUCUAAAUUUUUCUCUUCUCUCUAUGAAGAACUAAACCUAUUUUUUUGGUUGAAGGUUAAUGAAGCUUUGAUUCAUCACUACUGUGAGAUCUUUCUUAUGCUUUAAUUGUUUUAUUGCUUUUUUGGGUAUUUGUUUAUUCUCUGAAUUAUUUUCAUGAUUAUGUUUGUUAAUUAAGUAAUUGGCCACUAUUUAAUUAUCAACUUAAUCUAUUGUCAAUUAAAGGAUUCAUCGUAUGAAGAUUUUAAUGUUUGUGACAAAUAACAUAGCAGAGAGUUGUGUUAUGAGAAUAAACAAUCUAAUUUAAAUUAAACAUCGUAUGUGUUGAUUAUGAUUUGAGUCUCUCUGGUUUUUCAGGCUGUCAAUUGAUUAAAUCAUAUGAUCGUAUCUAGGGUUGUCUAUUGAUUAGGGAAAUAACCAACGGUCGUACCUUAGUUAUCGACUAGUUAAGGAGAAAUUGGCUAUUAGAGGGUCUCAGUAGUUAUAACCAGUCUAUUCAUAAGUAGCAAUAAUUUAUAUUUGAAUCAAUGAUCAGUAGCCGAAUUAAGCUGAGUUAAUUCCUUCAACCAGAGCUUUCUCCAAUUUGAAUUACAACUUUAAUUUGCAUUCUUGUUAUUUUAAUUUGAUUUUUUAUUAUUGUCAACGAAACCCCCAUUUUAUGUUUUACGUUUUAAAAAGAUUUAAAUAAUUACCGAUCUUUGUGGACACGACCCUGCUCAAUCACUAUACACAAUUUAUUUAGAGUAGGUAUUUAUUUUUGCUGGCUUCGACAACCAUCAACAACACAUGAUAAGUAAGUGGUUAAUUGAGACACAAAUAAAAGAUUAUAAUCUAAAGAUUGAACAAUUAACACUGAUUCUAAAUUUAAUUCAUCUGUGAGUCGUAAAGAUCCUUCCCCAAUAACUGAGGUUGUGGUUCCAUUUGCAGUGGAAAUAUGUUUUUGUGAAGAUGGUUUCAAUUGAGAAACUUGUCGAGAAUCAAAAGUCAUAUGAUCAAUUGCCCCAGAAUCAAUUAUCCAUGUACUAUUAAUAACAGGUGUAAGAGUUUUAAGGGCCUUACCUGGACUGACAGAGGUUGCGAUUUGCACUGAAGAAUCUUUUCUAAGAUCUGUAGUGGAUGUGGAUUCAGCUACUGCAGUUUUUGAUCCCUGCUUGGUGUUCUUCUUUCGAGUAUCCCACCAGUCAGGAUAUCCAAUGAUUUCAAAACAUUGUUCUUUUGUAUGACCAUUCUUCCUACAAUGAGUGCAAUGGAGUGAUGACUUGUCAACAAGCUUCCUUUGAGGCUGUUGUCGUGCUAUCAUAGCAGACGUUUAUGAGUCGACCUUCUUGUUUAGUUUGUUUUGCCAUACAUCUUAUCUCCGGAUAAGAGAAUAACAUUCUUCUAAGUCUGGGAUAAUAUCUUUUCAUAGAAUUUCUCUACGAACUUGGUCAAAUUCUUCAUCUAGCCCAGCAAGAAAAAUGUGCACUCUCAAUCUUUCAACAGACCUUCUGUAUAUUACAACAUCUUCUGGAUCUUUCAUGACCACUUUAUCUCGAUGAUCAAGUUCUCGAAAUAUUUCGAUCAAUUCUCCGUAGAAUUUAGAGAGUGGUUGUCCAUUUUGCUUGGUAGAGAACGCCUUCUGGUUUAGAGUGAAAACUUGUAAUUCAUCGCUUCCAUCAUAGAAGGCUUUUGAUAAUGCAUCCCAAAUUUCGUAGGCUGUAGGAAUUCGUAAAUAUCACUUCAUGAUCUCCGGAGACAUGAGUAACCAUCGUUUUACUUUUUGGUUCUCACUAUACCAUUUCUCAUAUUCUUUUGAAGAUUCCUCAUAUAGCUUUGUGUUGCUACGAAUACAUGAGAGUUUUUCUCUUUCUGCGAGAUGCAUCUCCAUUAUUUGAGACCAAACAUCGUAGUUUGUCUCAGUGAGGAUAAUUCCAGCAUUAAAUAUUCCAUCAGAUUGAACAGAUUGAAUGACUAUUGUGCAAAUUUAUUGAACUCGCAAGUGCACGAAUUUAUUGUAGUAUAGAUCAAUGGUGAUGAGUGUCGAUCCCACGAGGAGGUGGAUUUUAAUUAUAUGUAGAAUUAAUUUUGUAUGAGGGUGGUUGGAUUUGUGGUGAAAAUGAUUUGGAUUAUCCUAAAAUUCGAAUUAAAAUGGCAAGAAUAAAUUGAAGUGAAAAUCUAUUAAAUUGACGUACUUGGGUAUCUGGAUCCGUAUCAACAUGCACCAUGGGCUAAAUAUUCCUUAUUAAUGCCAAUUGAAUCAUGAGGGUGGAAUCCACACCUCAUGAACCACACUCUAAUCAAUAUGGUGCUAAGGGCUUAUCAUGCCAAAUAAUAAUAACCUUGUACUAAGGAGCCGGUGUAACCAAUGCGGUAUCUAGACAAGAUUAUUAUUAUUUGUCGACGAAAAGUCAAAUCAUCCACAAAAAUUAGAGGGGAAAAGAAAAUAAAUUUACCAAAUAAAGCCCAUGACACAUGUUGAGACUUCACCUUCAACCCAAGCUUGAAAGAAAAUUAGCUACUUAUAAUUGAACUAGGGGCAAAAUGAAAAUUUAUUAAAAUACGUAGAAAAUACAAGAUGGAGAAGAAAUUACAGAAAAUGGAUCCCAAAAAUGGAUUCAGAGAUAUCAAAUUAGGGGGGGGGGGGAGGCCCCUUUUUUAUAGAUACAUUGAGUAAAUCGUGGCCAUCGGAUUAAAAACAGUUUGGACGCUCAGGAUUUUGCCACGUCAUCAGUCAACAGUACGCGGUUUGACCACGUGGGUGAACAGUAACACGGUUUGACCCGGGUUGAACAAUGAUGCGGUUUGGUUGAAAAUAAUCCUGUGUAAUGCAUGUACCGUACGCGACAUUUUUGGUCCACUGAUAUGCUGCCACGUCAUCGAUCAACAGUGCAUAAGAAUUUUAGUCCAACAGGAUUGUGACACCUCAUCAGUCAAUGCCACAUCAUCGGUCAAUGCAACGUCAUCAAUCCGUCUAUGUGAACAGUGUCGUGAACAGUAACGUAGACAGUAUCAUAUAAGUGAAUAGUACCAUACAUGUGAACAGUGCCAUUUUUCCUUUUAUGCUCCUCCUAAGGUUUUCGACCGUCCUGAGUUCAAAAGUGAUGUCCGUUUUGCCAUCUGAUCUCUCGUUCAUUGUGAAAUGACUAUAAUGCCCCUAAAAUACAUAAAAUACUUAAUUAAAAUAAAACACACAUAAUUAAAUGACAAGAAGUUUAAAUACAUAAAAGUAAGGGUGUUAGUAAAACUUAAAGUGUAAAAUGACGAUUUUCUCCUUUAUAACUAUACAUUUUCUAACACUCAACAAUGACAACAGGAGCAGAUUCAGUUGGAGUUUUCUCCAUUUUUUGUUGUUUUUUUUUUCUCUUUUUCCUUUUUUUUCUCUUUUUUUUUCCUUUUUUUUUUGGCGCCUAGAUUGAAAUAAGGGAAAAUAACCUUUUUAGAUCAAAGAACGACAAGUCAUUUGGCCUCUGCUUGACGAAACGACAUGUCGGUUCUGAUGGAAUAUAAACGACAUGUCGUUUGACGACUGCUGCACUUCUGGAGAUUGAACGUGACGUCGUUUUAUCUCUAAUUUACAACCGACAUGUCUGUUGUAAUGUAAUAAAAAAUGACACGUCAUUGUAUUACCAGCUGCACUCUUGAGAUAAAAAUAAAAUGUCGGUUGAUGUCUUCUUCAACCUCUCGAGCGCGUGAAUAUGACAGAGGCGCAUGGUUGACUGGCCGUGGCUUCCGGUGGCACGUGGGAGCGCGUGGAAAUGUGUUUAAAUGCCAAAGUUUUACAGUUUUCUUACUGGAAACUGAGAAAUAUGAUGGUAUUCUUGGUUUUUUAGGAACACACUCUUGGAAAAUUAAUGGGAUUGCUGAUAAAUUUGUAAACUCAAGUUUUUUACGUAUGGGUGGCUUGUUUCUUGAUCGGCAUGGAUUUCGGUAAUGGUAGGAAUGGGUUUAAGGAAGAAAAUGGUGGGAAAAAAAUGGUUGUGGGAGGAAUUUGGUUUCCUCUGUUUUUAUUACGAACAGAGCUGCGAAACUUGAAGAAACUUGAAGAAACUUGAGCGUAUUCAUGGCUCUGAUACCAUGAAGAAACAUGUUUUUAUUUCUUGAAAUAAAACAUUAUACACUGAGAGUUAUUUAUAGAUGCAGAUGCUACAUUUUUUCAAAGAUUACAUAUGUGAAUAUGGAAGGAAAUGUGUCAAUCCGUUCGGCGUGGAUCGUGUCUUUGACAAAUGCAGAUUAUCCCUUUGACAAGUGCGGAUUAUGUCUUUGAAAACUUUCUCCAAUGCCAUUUUAUUCAACAAAUACGAUCUCAUCAGCUAUUAUAUUAAUUUCUAUUUUGCCAUUGCAUGAAAUUAUGAAAAAAGGAUAUUGAAGAGUUUCUUGCCACAAAUUGAACCUGCAUCUCUGUAAGCAUUACUCUUGCAUUUUCGCGGAAAAGGGAGUAAGUGAAUGGCCUAAAUUCAUGGUUCAUUUCAUAUUAUGGAGUUUCUUUCUUCAGGAUGAUUUCGGCUGGAAUUCUCAUAAUUUGCGUCCAAAAAUCCACUAUUGAUAGGCUUAGUGCUUGCCAUUUUGCCUUUACAGCUGGUAGUGGUUGUAUGCUUGUUGGAUUAGUCAAAAAAAUCAAUUGGCAUUGGUCACAAAUUUUUUAUUCAAUUUUUUAUUCGAGCUGAGGGAUACAUACAGUAGUAGACGUCGUGUUCUAUGUUCUCUUUCCCAUAUAUAUAACUAUAGUAAGAGAUAUAUAUGGCUUUUAUAUAAUUCUCAAUAUCAUAGGCGGUAAACAUGGACUCUUGGCUAAAAGACAAUAUGAACAUGAAACCAUUUCACGUGGGUGAUCAAUUAAUAACUUUCAUUUUUUUUACUUCUUAUAGAAGUCAGAAGAGAGUGUACCUGCGACCAGUGGCGGUGCCAAAAAUUAUUUUUAGCGCGGGCUACGUUCACAUAAUAGUUUAAUUCAAGAAAGUAAUCAAUAAAUAACAUAUAUCAAAAUAAAAUUUCAUUAAAAUAUUUAAUUCAACACACUUAUAAUUGUCUUCGACGAGGUUUCAUAUGUUGAAAACGUUGAAGAAUAACUUCAUUGUCAAGACUACAAAAUAUAUCAUUUUUUAUGAAUACAACAAGGUUAUCAUUCAACCAUUGAUCUCUCAUCCGAUUUCGCAGACGGUUUUUCACAAAAUUCAUAGCCGAAAAUGCCCUUUCUAUUGUAACUACGGCAACUGGUAAAAUCAAUGCUAAUGUCACCAAUAAAUAAACUAAUGAAUAUAAUUGAUCCUUUUUAGUCUCAACCAAUUUUCUUGCUAGCUCACCAAUCCCUUUCAAUCUGAAAAUUUGUUGUUAGAACCGACAUCCAUAAUAUAAACAUCAAAUUGAGUUUCAAGUGCCACAAGAUCCAUUAGAGAAAAAUCAUUUGGAUAAAACUCAGCAAGGUGAAGUAGUUUCUAUUUAUCAAAAGCUGCAAAUGAGUCAUUGGGGCAUAGACAUGCCACACAAAGAAGUAGGGGUGGGCAUCGGAUCGGAUUCGGAUUUGAAGGCAAAUCCGAUUGGAUGAAGUCUGUGCGAUCUGAUCGGAUUUGGUUCGGAUCGGAUCGAAUUCGGAUCAAUCCGAAUCAUCCGAUCGGAUCUGCACUAUAAACUAAAAAAAAGAAAAUUAAAUAAAUAAGCGAAAGUACUAAAAAAAUAAGUUUAACUCAUGUUCGGAUUCGGACUUCGGACUUCGGAUCACUAGUGCAGUCAGUCAGUCACCACUCACCAGUUCACACUUCACAUUGUUCAUCUCACUCUUAGAUCUUACGUCUCAGUCACAGACUCACAGUACCAACUCAAACUGACAUUAACAAAAGACACAGGACUCAGCGAGCACGAGCAGCAGAGCAAAAGCAAAAUGCCAAAUCCAGCUUCAUCUCGUCAUCCGUCUUGAACCCAUUAACGAGUAACGACCACGCCAAAACUCAGCUGCCGCCGGCCCGCUGACACCAAUCGACUGGAAGCUAGCCGAUUUCAACUGAAACCCAGGCGAACGAAACCAAAUUAAUCGACCUAAACCCAGCUGAAACCCAGCUGACAGCUGCCUCUUCAACCACCGAACUGAUCACGUCCAGCGCCGGCCAGUUGCCACGCCAAACGCCGAUAAUCCACUUCCACUAUUCCCAAGCACCUAGCAACUUUAUUCAUGGUAAGCAAUUAAACCAGACCCAUGACAAUUGAAAGUUAACACAACUCAGAAUUUCAUGCUUCUUUUCGACUUUUAGGGUUUUUUUAGUUGUAUUACUGCUUGGAAAAUGAAAAACCGAAAAUGCCACCAAAUGGUUUGGGCCAAACCCGAGAGCAAGCGGCUAGCUCCCAAACCCGAGAGCAAGACAUGAAUUGUUCUGUUUUUUCCUUUUAUUUUUUCUAAUGUAUGAUUAUUCAUUUGUAAUAUUAGUUGAGAAAGACAUGAAUAUGUAUUGAUGUAAAAUUCAAAUUUAUUAAUUAUUAAAUAAUCAUCAUUAUUUAAUGCAUGAUUAUUCAUUUAUAACAUUAGUUUAUUAAUUAUUAAUAAACUAAGGAACAAUAUCAAUUCUUUAAAAUUAAAAAUUCAACUUCAUACCGUACAUUGUGGUAGUAGAAUUAUUUUAUGAUAAGUUAAUGUCAUUAAUUGCUUUAUUUCCAAAUAAUAAUUUGAUGAAUGAAUUUGUAUAGCUAGUAAGCUAGGCUGAAGAGAUUAUAUAUAGUCAAAAGUUAUAUUUAUUUUUUAGUUGAAAAUUCAUAAACGAAAGUUACAGAACAAUGAUGAUUGAUAUGAUUUUUUUAUUUUCAGAUGACUGGACAUUCAAAAUCAAAUUCCAAUGAUGAAGAUGAAGUUGAAAGUGUACAAGUACCCACAGAAAAGACAAAUACAAAGCGGAAGAAUCCAACUCAGAGACGACCAAUAAAGAAAAGAUCUGAGACAUGGAAUCAUUACACUGUACUUGAGGACAAUCAAUAUAAAGCAAAGUGCAACUAUUGUGGCAAGAUAUAUCAGUGCCAUCCUAGGUUUGAUGGGAUUAGCAAUAUGGGAACUCAUUUAAAAGUAUGUGAAGCAUACUUGAACGUGAAGCGAGAGCAAGAUGAAAGACUACAAAAAUUGGCAGCCGAGAGUGGUGAAGGAAAUGCAAGUAAUAUGGUUUUGGCUAAAGGAUGGAGUCAAGAAGCUUGUAGAAGGACAGUUAGUAAAAUGAUUAUCUUGGGCAAGUUGCCGCUUAAUUUUGUUGACAACAAAGGGUUUAUGCAUUUUUGCAAUGUAGUUGUUCCUCAGUUUAUUAUGCCAUCUUGGAGAACUAUUAGUAGAGAUGUUAUGGAUAUGUUCUUGGAAGAAAAGGGAAUUUUGAAGAGUUUGAUAUGCAAGAAUAAGCAUAGAGUGUCUCUUACAACUGACAUAUGGACUUCAGUUCAGAACAUGAGUUAUAUGGUAAUCACAGCUCACUUUAUUGAUAGUGAUUGGUGUUUACAUAGGAAGAUUAUUAGUUUUAGCGUGAUUGAAGACCAUAAAGGGAAGUCCAUUGGCAAAAAGAUUUAGUCUUGUUUGCUUGAAUGGGGAAUAGAGAGGGUGUGUGCAAUAACUGUUGAUAAUGCGUCGGGCAAUGAUGUUGUUAUUGAUUAUGUGAAGAACCAAAUGCUUAUGUGGAAGAAUGUUGAUGCACUUGUGUUGCGGGGUGAUUACAUGCAUGUGCGUUGUUGUGCACAUAUCUUAAAUUUGAUUGUCACUAGGGGGUUAAAAGAGUUGCAUGCCUCAGUUGCCGGUAUUCGGAAUGCUGUGAAGUAUGUUAGAUCAUCCACUUCGAGAUUAAAAGCAUUUAAACAGUGUGUAGAUCAUGUGAAAGGCCCUAAUGGAACUGUGGUUUUGGAUUGUAUCACUAGGUGGAAUUCCACCUAUUUGAUGUUGAUGACUGCUUUGAAAUUUGGGGAGGCAUUUGAGAGGAUGGCAGAAGUGGAUAAACCGUAUGAAGCAUACUUUAGAGAGGAAGAAAACGAGAAAAAAAAGGGUAGGGCCACCUGAGCUUGAAGAUUGGGAACAUGCCGAAAGAAUUGUGAGGUUUUUAAAGAUCUUUAUGAUGCUACAUUGACUUUUUCAGCCUCUUUGAGUGUCACUUCUAAUCUUUGUUGCGAUACAAUUGGCUUAAUCGAGAAUCCAUUGAGUGCAUUAGAAAAAAGCAAAGAUGUUUAUGUGCAUUUGAUGGCUUCUAGUAUGAGGGAAAAAUAUGACAAAUAUUAGGAGUGCACAGAGAAAAUCAACAAAAUCAACAAAAUCUUGAUUAUUGCCUCAAUACUUUAUCCGCAUUGCAAAAUGGAUUUUACUAAACAUAUUUUUAGUAUGAUAUUUUCCGAUGAUAGUGCAAAGAUUGAAGAAAUGGUCGCGGUGAUGAAAGGCUUGUUAAAUUCACUUUUUGAUGCAUAUAGUGGAUGGAACUCCUCACCACCAUUGUCUAGUGAGAGUUUUCGUAGUGGCAGUGCCAGUGGUGGCGGUGGCGGUUCUAGUUCUUCUCCGCACCUUAUAGAUGACACGGAUCGGCAACAAGGGUACAUAAUGGAACAUGGUGAUGAUACUUUACGAGUUGCUCGCCCUUUUCUUGGAUAUGCUAAGAAAGUUUUAAUUCAAAACGAGGGCAAGCUUAUGACGACCGAGGUGGAAAGAUACUUACUUAACCCGAUUGAAGAUCCUAGUAAUGAUAAACUAAAUUUUUUAUUAUGGUGGAAGGUGAACAGGUCGAAGUAUCCGAUAUUGCAGAAAAUAGCAAGGGAUAUCCUUGCAAUUUCGGUAUCCACUGUGGCUUCGGAGUCCGCCUUCAGCACUGGGGGUCGUAUCAUGACGAAUAUAGGAGUUCUUUAACUCCCACUAUGAUUGAAGCAUUGAUUUGCACUGAAAAUUUGUUGCAGUCUAAACUUUUUUGCCACUCCUAUCUACGACCUUAAUCAAGAGUUGAAAGAUCAUAUAUAUCAAAUGGAGUUACAAGAGGGUAACUUUUUUAUAUUACAUUUUAUAUAGAAUACCUUUUAAAUUUAUUAUAACACAUUUUUUAUAUUACUCGUGCACUAAUUAUAAGUUAUUAUGUUUUUUUUUUCAUUUUAAAGAGUAUGUACAAUCACAAGCUUCAACAAUUACAAGUUACAACGAUGGGUGCUAGUAUUCGUCAUGAUAUUUGAAUAGGUAAGGUAACUCUUAAAUUUAAUAAAUCUUUUGGUUUCAAGGUAUUAUAUUUAUAAUUGUUUUACUUUUGGUUUUAAGUCAAUUGUAACAUGAUAAUUGUUUGUGAUCUUAUGUUAGGAAAAUUGAAGUUGGUAGUUGGAAAGCAAAAGUUAAGGAUUCAUCAAAGUGUGUUGUGAGUUUAAUUUGAUAUUAUUGUACUUUUGGUUUGAGGAACUUGUAGUCUAUCUAAAUGUUUUGGGAUGAUAAUUUUUAUUUUGGUUUAUUUUAUUGUUGGAUGAUAUAAUGAUAAUAUUUAUUUUGUGAUUUUGUGUUGUUUAUUUAUUUGGAGACUUGGAGUAAUGUUUAAUUGUUUAUUUUGUGUUGUUUGUUGGGAGACUUGGAGUAAUGUUUAUUUUGUGUUGUUUACUUGGAGACUUAGAGUUGGAGCAAAGUUUAUUUUGUGUUGUUUAUUUAGAGGCUUGGAGCAAUGUUUAUUUUAUGUUGCUUAUUUGGAGGCUUGGACUUGGAGUAAUGUUUAUGCACCUAACUUGUAAGAGCAUUAGUGCAUUACUAAUUAAAUGAAAUGGGAGUGCUUGUUUUCUUGGUAUAUGUCAAUGCCAUAUUGUCAAGGAGACAAUACAAUAUAGAUUGUCAUUUGUUAGCUUGUUUUCAUUUUCUUUUUUUUUUUAAUGGUUAGUAAGUUUUCAUUACUUAUAGAUUUCAUAAUUUUUUUGUGAGAAUUGUGAAAAAGGUCCAAAUCCGAUUUCAAUCCGAAUUAAUCCGAAUCCAAAAUAUAAUCCGAAUCCGAAAAUUAAUCCAAAAUCCAAACUCAUCCGAUCCAAUCCGAAUCCGAAUUCAAUCCAAAUUUUCAUCCGAUCUAAAUCCGAUCCGAAUAAUUCGGAUCGGAUGAAAAUUCGGAUUGAAUUCGGAUGAAUUUUUUUUCAAUCCGAAUUAUCCGAAAUCCGAUCGAAUUCAUCCGAAUCCGAAAUUGCCCACCCCUACAAAGAAGCAACUCAGUAUUCGUCUUAUUGAAACGAUUGCUUAAUUCUUUAAGUUGCAUGUCCAAAAUUGCAUAAAAUAAUUCAACACGAAAACAAUGCAAAUUUGUGAUCUUUUGAGCCUUGCGUUGUGAUCUUUCUUGAGUUCGAAACAAAUCAUCCAUAUUCGGAACAUCAAUAUCAUGCUUUACACAAUAAGAAAAAGUUUCACCAAAUAAAGAGUCUCAUCCAUUUUCUCCAGUCUUUUGCAAGUUUCUCUUAUACACUUCAAUUAAUUUCAUAGCAUUCACAAUGUCUUGAUCCUUUUUUUGUAAUGCUUGUGAUAACUCAUGUGCAAAUCCAAGAAUAUUUUUCAUUAACAGCAGGCUAAACACAAAAUCAAAUGAUUGCAUUGACUUCAAUAACAUUCUAGCUUGAAAUCUUUGUUCAGAAUUUCCCUCAUUUGAAAUUAUCUCAAGCAUGUCAAUAAUAGAUGGAAACAUGGUGAUUAUACUCAAUAACGUACCAUAAUGUGAGCCCCAACGUGUAUCAGCAGAUCGCUUUAAAGUAACCUCUUGAUUUAAACCUCGUCCACUUGAAAGUUCACCAUCAUCAAGUGUUUUAAUAACUGCUUGAGCAUGUUUCUCUUGAAGAAUAUCACGACGUUUUGUUGAAGCACCAACAACAUUAACUAACAUUGUAAGAGAAUUAAUUAUGAGAAUUUAAAGAGAAACUGAAAACAAUUCCCAUGUCAAAAUGUAAAAACAAAUACAAAAAUACAAAAUAUUAAUUUAAUAAACUAACUACCCGAUUAAAUCCUCAACCACUAAGUUACUAAUCCAUCAUAGCAUCACGCCAUCACCAAUGGCAUUGUUAUUCUAUUAUUUAUAAUGAGUAAAGUUAAAAGCAUUGCCACUUUAUCAAGAAGCAUCGCCACUUUAUCAAGAAACAUGCCACAAUUAUUCUAUUCAAAAAGUAUAAACAAAUUCAAGAAUUGUAAUAUUAAAUUAUAAAGUGACAAAGAUGUUUAAUUAUUAAAAUAAUUUAGCCACUCGGCCUUUGGCCGAGUGGUCAGGGCAGCAAUUCGAACCCCCACAAAAGCAUUGUGGGGGUAUUUCCUUCCUCAAUUAAAAAUUGAGUGAAGGUAGUCUUCUUUUUUACCCAUGAGUGAGGAGUGGACAUCCCUCGAAUAUUUGUGAGGGUUAAAAUCUGGGCAGAGCUCCAUUAGUAUUGAUGUAAGUUGGUCCCAGUAAUAGUCUGAUUUGUAAAUAUCAGUUAUACUCUCAUGUAAUAUGAGUUGUAAUAUGAGCAAUAGUCUCAUGUAAUCAAAAAAAAAAUUAUCAAAAUAAUUUAAUCAAUUCUUAAUAAUUAAUCUAAAAGCUGCAAAGGUAUGACAGUAGUACCUGAAAAAAUGCAAAGAUGCAGACCAUGCGGUGGUGCAGGGCUCCGAGUGCCAACUGCAAGUUGUAGCAUAUAUGGCAUGAAAGCAAAGAGGUGUGAUGGCAUGAGAGUUUGACAGAGAUAGACGACAGGCUGAUCACUGAUGGUAGCCGAUGGAGUUUUUCUUUGGCAAAGGAUCGAUGGUGGUGGUUAGGGAUUUGAUUUUGAGUUUUUUUUUUUAAUUUCUAAUCGUUGUUUUAAAUAUUAGUCUUUUAGUUAUUUCAAAAAAAAAUUCAGGGACUUUAUUGUAAAUUCACUAAAAAAAGAUAAAUUUAAUUGUUUUUAAAAUUCUAGGGGGGCCUUCAGCCCCCAGCUCUCAAGUGGCGCCGCCUCUGCCUGCAACGUCAAUCGUAUCAAGCAAAGAUAUAGGACAUUUAAUAAUGAAAAAAUUAGGAAUUUUCAUGGACACACCAGUCGGUUCCGUAAAUAUAUAGAAUCAACUGAUUCUAGGUACCUUACAAUGUGAUUUUUUUCCCCUUGAAGAUAAGGACUAUUUUUUAGGAUACUGGCCGUUGAGGCUUUGUUUGUAUUUUUGCAAGAAAAUGGAAAAGGGUGGGCUAAAUCGCAAAAAAUAAAGCUAAUAGCUGCUAAAUUGAAUUUUUUAAGAGUGUUUUAAUGUGGAAUUUGAUUUGGGAACUUUUUUGUAGUUACAAGAAACAGCCACACCGGGUAACAAUUAGGGCAUUCUUUCAUAAAUUGGAUAUCAAUAGUAUCGAGUACGAAUGAGGAUGGUUAAAUGCCUAAUCACCCUAUUAAUCUUACAGUCGACAAAAAGCAAAAGCAAAAGCAAAAGCAAUAGCAUUACAAAUAGUAUAACUAUCAAAUUGAUUCACUAUGUCUAAACGACAAGUCAUCUAAAUAAUUUGUCAUCUAAUUACUAAAUUAUUUGACGCAACGACUGAUUUAGAAUUUUAAUUUAGAGGGGGCUUGGUACAAAUACUGUGAUUCACAGUAGCGCGUUCGAUGGUGCGAGUGAUCAACAACAACGACAGACAAGUGAGGCAAUGAUGAUGUAUAUGUUGGAAAUAUGAAUUCAUAUUGUUUUUUGAAAGUACACAAUAUGAAUAGUAGCUGUUGGUACUGUUACUUCACUAUUUACUAAUACUAUUGAUCUUACUGUUCACUCAACAACAAUCGUAAAUUUGUCAAGGUGUGUUCGAAGUGUCCUUAAGACUAAUUUUUGCUUCUCUAGAAAGAUUUUCCGAUACAAAAAAUAUAUAUAUAUAAAACGAAUUGAUCCCUAGGAUAUAAUGACAUUAUUGUGAGCUUGCACUCCAAGCACAAUAGUUUAGAAUAACAAAAGAAAAAUUAAUGAAAAAAAUAUAAGAUAGAAGAAUAGGUUACAAUGGUUGUGCCUUGAAGAUUUUGUAUUUUGAAAUACCAAUAAAACUCUAAGAAUAAGCUUAAAUAAUUUGAUCAAAAUUGCACUUUAAGAUGAAACACUAAUUAAUGGCCUUUCAAGACUUGAAUUGGGUUAAAUAGUUUAUGUACGAAAAUUGAAUUAUUGACAUCCCUAUCUCCUUUUAUAUAUUGUUGGUAAUAAAUCUAAUAACUUUAUGUGGUUGUGAUUCUUAAUGUAGUUUUUUUUAAUCGUUAGCUGUGUACGUGUCAUUAUUAGCAAUGUGUCAUUUUCAUUACUGUGUCAUUGUUGGCAGUGUGUCAUUUUCAUUACUGUGUCAUUUGUAGUAUUUAGAAUCAUUGGCCAAUAAUUUUGUAACAAGACCAACAUAUAGGGGUAAAUGACAAAUUCACGAGUGGGGGACAUACACCUGUUUAUAAUAUUGUAAAUGCAUUUUUUCAUGAGUUUACAGUGUUCAAAAGUAUUUUCUUCAUUCUAAGUGUGGACAUGCCAAUUUUGCAUAAUAGUCAUAUCCCAGAACAAAAGUCACAUUAAAAUUUUAUUCAUUUAUUCAGGUUUUUUUCCUGCAUUAACGAAUUCAUUGUGUAGGAUUUCAUUUUUAUGUAAACCAAUUCAGUUACGAGAAUCAACUACUAAUUUUUUUCCCGUUAAUUGGCUACGUUUACGUUAAUUAACUGAUAAAUAACUUUGCAUUAGCAAAGCCAAGAGAUUAAUUUAAACCCCUAAGAUUCAAAUAUUCUUUCACUAGUACUACUGGACAAAUUUGGCAAUCGAUAUUUCGGAAGACAUCAUCACACGUGUCAAACAAAAGUUAAAAAAAUAGCCAGUCCCAUUAAAAUCACCAAAUGCAAUCCAAUAACAUGCUCCAUUAUGUAUUGACUUUCAUGAGAAUUAGCAGGAAAAAAAAAAGUUCAUUUAGUUAAGCAAAUAGCAACCUUUGAUUGUUCUUUAACAUUACUAAAAAUCUAAUUCUUACUUUACUUGAUUGUAUUGUCGAAUCUUUCUGAAAAGGUAGAAGAUAAAUCCCAUUUAUUGGAAUUGUAUGUAGGACGUGUUUUGUUCAAAAUCAGUAAUUUGACAGUUAAGAAAUGAACAGAAAGUUGUUGAAGGUAGUGCAUGACGUCUCAUGCGCUUUAAAUUUCAAAAAUUUAUAUCUUUUUGACAUGGAAACUACUCAGCAAGGAAAUGGUGGCUCAACAACAUUAUAUAUAUAGAGCUCUCUAGGUGAAUUGAAGAUGAGAAUGAGGGAUUGCAUAAGCUACAAGAAUGAACGGUCAUUUGUAAAGUACAGCGAAUAGGGUCCAUUAGAUCAAAUCAAGUAGAGUAGAAGAAAAUGAAUACACUUAUGCUACAAUCAGUUUCAAUUUCUUUCAUCUGGUAACCGUCUAUAAACAAGAUACAAGCUCUAAGCCACCAAUGGGCUAUAAACAGAGCUUCAUUCAAGAGAGUUAAAGGUAUCCCAAGUUCUGAAAAUUGAGAGCAUGUACAAGUGAGCUUUUACAGAGAUUUUUCAGAGAAUGUUUUCUUAACUAUUCUAGAGGGAUUUAUAUUGGGUGUAUUUAGGUUAUCGGAUUUUGAGAAUUGUUCCCAUUCAAAGCCCAACCCCAAUUCAUGAGCCUAAAUAAUAAACCAAACAAAAGAGAAUAUUCUCUCAAUUUAUCUAGAAUUACUUUGCUAAAAAUAUCAUGAAUCAUUGGCGUUGUGGCAGUUUUAAAAUUUGGUGAUUCCUAAGAAAUUAAUGGUAAUAAGUUUAGAAUGUCGUUAUUUGUUAGGACCUGCAUUUAAAAUCUUAAAUAUUCGUAAUUAAUUAUAAAGAUCUCGGUUCACCUGCAAGCUACAACAAUUAGCUAACUGAUAUAUGGUAUUUUUUACAAAACUAUUCAAAAAGAAAGGGUAUAAUUAAUCAAACUGAUUUGGACAAUACCACACGAUUUUUUUUUUAUUGACAAACCAACAUAAACAACAUAUUAACGUAAAUAACGCAUUCACAUAUAAUUGUUUUAUUUAGUUAUUAAGAAAGACGAAGUACAUGGACGGUGGACACUAAGAAAUAUAAUCUCUUGUAUAUCAAGAGAUUUUAGAGGUUGAAAUGAACUAAACUGACCCUCACACAAUUAAUUGACAGUAAUUGACAGGUAAGAACAGUACCCAUCCUUUUAUUAACCAUAAUGGAAAAGAGUAAUACUGCGUGCGUGCGUGCGCUUAUUAACCAGUGUGGUCGGGAUUUCUUCCAUAUUGAGGGACAGCAAUAAGAUCAAGAUUGUCAACUGUCCCGUCCUUAUCAUCAGCAAUACCAUAUACAGGUACUGGAGUACCCUCCAACCAUUCAUUCUUACCUGAAAGUUUAACAUUAGAAAAUGGAUUCAUAAAUGCUUAUAUUAAUAUAUGAAUUGUAAAUGAUAUCCAUUCAGCUGAAAUUGGCUAAAAAACCUGCGCAAGGAAAAGGAGUUUCCAUAUUCUUCAAAUCAGAAAAGAUCUCCAGGUGAAGCGUAAUCAAAACUCAAAAAUAAGUAGAGCUUGAGCGUGUUCUUAGUUCUGGUUUGAUCUGAUAUAUAUAGAUUCAAGAAGCCGAUGUUGCCGAGGUGUGGGUGAUUGUGACGUAGCAAAACA
rnacentral:lncRNA from 1 species